GAUAUUAUACCUAUCAUGAGGACAAUCUUUAUUGACAAUAAAUAAAUAAAUCAUUUAGUCAUAUUUUUUUUAAGGGCGGCUUAGCUCUAUGAUUCGCUAAUUUUUUAUUUUUAUUUUGAUAUUUUCGAUUCGUAGAAUGAAGGGAGUGUAUAUAUAACUAGGGUGUAACUCCAAUUUUCUAAUUUGUAACAAAAGAGAAAGAUAGAGUAGAGUUCGAAAACUAUUCUAAGAGAAAUUUGAUAGGCUCCUCUAAAUAGAAUGUGCACCACUUUCCUCUGCAACAAAUUAUGUUGGCUUCAAACCUUACUCGAUCUAAUAUAUUCAAAAUUUUAUUCGACUAUUUAAUUAUGUCCACAUUUUUAAAGUCAUACAAAAAUUACUUAACUAGCAUGAUUUUCAUUUCCACGAUCGCUUCUCCUUCUUCAUAAUCCUCCUUCUCCGAUCAACAUAACUUGUGAAUAAGAUAAAUUUGUCAAUUCAAUAUGACUUGUAAAUAAUAUAAAGAGACAUAAAAUGAAGACUAUACACCCUAAAAGUCAGAGUACUUACUUGUCAGCUGAGAUCAAAUUUGAAUAUCUAUUUAUGUAGUAUUAUGUAUUUAUUAACUUCUAAUAUUAUAAAACUUUGUUCAAACAAUAAUAACAUGAAAAUAGCAUAUAUUGGUUUUCAUGUGGAAAAUGAGUGUAAAUGAAUGGUCCCAAGAAACAUGUCAUAAUCAAAGUCUUAGUGACAUUAUAUUAUUCCCUCUAUUUUCUUCUUUACACUAUUUAACUGCUUAUGAUCAUUUGCCACUAAGAAAAUAGUGAAAUUAAAGAAGCUAUGCUCAAGAAUUGUUAUGAAUAUUAUACCAUCCACAUAAUAUUAUAAUUGUACUAUAGCUUAUAAACAAAAGGACUACUAAAAGUAGGUAACAACUAUGCAUAUUUUGAGGCUUUUUGAUGAAAGGAGAGAUGACAUUGUCAAUGUCACCUAGUGGCUUUUUAGAAGUCCCGAGUUCGAGCUUUGUAAUAGUCAAUUUUGAUAGAGACACUAAGAUUCAAGAUUUGAACUCUAUGAGUUUUUACACAUGAACGACUUCUUGGCGUGAAUUUGGCACGUCUAUGCACUUCAAACAUGCAGUGAAAGUUUCUUAUCGUCAAAGUUGAGGCAAAAGCAAUUGAAUUCAAUUCAACUACAUAUACUUGAAAUUCACGCAAAAUUGGCUGAACUUCAAACAUAUGUACCUAAAUUUCAACCACAUGAAACUUCCGCUACACUUCAGUUAUGACAUAAUUAAAUAGUAGUCCCAAAAUCAGGUAUUUGUACAUAUCGUCCCAAAAACAACAACGAAAUAAGUCCAAUGUCAUUCUAUAGGCCCAAAAGUACUAGGCCCAACAAUUUCAUCAACUUUUCAUGUCCCUCUUUAAAGCCCAAUAGAAAAUAGAACCAUAAAGGUUUUGUUUGGUUGAUGAACAUGUUAUCCGAGGACUGUUAACGCAUCACACCCUCAAUGUGGGAUAAAAACAAUAGUACAAUCUUAGAAUAACUUAUCUCGCAAUUCUAUCCCAACCAUUCAUGGUAUAAACUCAUCCUAAAUUUAAUCCCGAGAUUGAGUAUCCCUCGUCCAUCUUACCAAACGAUUCCUAAGUACCUACGCCCAACAAUUUCAUCAACAAAAGGCCCAAUAAUGAGCUAAAGCCAAUAACAUUUUGUAGGCCCAUAAAUCCUGGCAUGUCUACACACUUCUGAAUAACUUCAGACAUGCAGUAGAAGUUUCUUAUCGCCCAUAAAUCCCGGAAAAAAUGAUUGAAUUCAAACCACAUAUGAUUAAACUUCAAGCGAAGUUGGCUGAACUUCAACCAUUUGAAACUUUCGACACUGCAUGUCUGAAGUUGUUCCUAAAUAUAUUACAUGUAUGACUUAAAUGGUGACUCCAAACUUGGGUGUCUAUACACUUGGGCCCAAAAAAGGAGCUAAGCCCAAUAACAUUCUUUAGGCCCAAAAGUACCAGGCCCACCAGAUCUUCAUUUCCCUCUUUAAGGCCCAAUAACAUUCUGUAGGCCCAUAAAUAUUAGGCCCAAUAACAGUUCUUCAUUUCCCUCUUUAAAGACUCCCAACAGACAACUACUAGCUAUUACUACUACUGUUAAUGCUGACACCAAUUUUGUUUUCUUUAAAAGGAUAGCAAAAAAAAAAAACCCAAAACCCCUUUGUACCCAAAAUUCUACUUUGUCACUUCAAGGUAUUCAUAGCUUUCUCUUUUCUUUUUAAUACUGUAAUUCAAAUGUGAUUCAAGUUUCAGUGUUUACUAUUUUGUGUUUUUUGUGGGGGGUUUGUUUUCUUGAAAUUGUGUUUAGUUUUGGCUACAUUUUGCUAUAAAACAUUAGCUUAAAUUGUGUGUUAUGUUUAAAGUUUUGAUCUUUGAGUUUGAGGUUUUUGUUUUUGUGGGUGUUGGAUUCUUGAAAUUAUGCUUAUUUUUGUCUACAUUUGCUAUUAACAUUAGCCUAAAUUGUGUGUUAUGUUUAAAGUUUUUAUCUUUGAGUUUGAGGUUUUUGUUUUUGUGGGUGUUGGAUUCUUGAAAUUAUGCUUAUUUUUGGCUACAUUGCAAUAAACACUUAGCCUAAAUUGUGUGUUAUGUGUAAAGUUAUCACCUUUGAGUUUGAGGGUUUAACUCUAUAGGUUUGUUUUGGAUGAGACACUUUCUUUUUGCUGUUUAUCUUUUUGUUGGUAUUUUUUUUCUUGAAAUCAUGCUUAUUUUUGGCUACAUUUGCUAUAAACAUCAGCCUAAAUUAUGUGUUAUGUUUAAAGUUUUGAUCUUUGAGUUUGAGGGUUUAACUCUAUAGGUUUGUUUUGGAUGAGACACUUUCUUUUUGCUGUUUAUCUUUUUGUUGGUAUUUUUUUUCUUGAAAUCAUGCUUAUUUUUGGCUACAUUUGCUAUAAACAUCAGCCUAAAUUAUGUGUUAUGUUUAAAGUUUUGAUCUUUGAGUUUGAGGUUUUUCUUUAUCUGGAUGUUUGUUUCUUGAGAUUAUGCUUUAUUUUGGCUAUAGUUGCAAUAAACAUUAGCCUAAAUUGUGUGAUAUGUAUAAAGUUCUCAUCUUUGAGUUUGAGGGUUUAACUGUAUAGUUGUUAUGAGUUUGCUAUGGAUGAGACACUUGUUUUUUCUUUUUAAUAAUACAAAUGUGAUUCAAAAGUUUCAGCUUUUUACUGCUCAUCUUUUUUCCAGGUAUUGGUUUCUUGAAAUUAUACUUAUUUUUUGCUACAUUUGCAAUAAACAUCAGCCUAAAUUGUGUGUUAUGUAUAAAGUUUUGAUCUUUGAGGAAAAGUGCAAUCUGCUUUCAUGCUGUUCAUCUUUUUUCGAUCAGUUUCUUUGAAAAACCUGCAUACCAUUUGUAUAUUCCCGAAUGUACUUAUUGAAAUAAGGUUUUUGGAUUUCUGAAUGUUCCUGUUUUAAUUUGAAAUCAUUCUCAGGUUACAGUUUCUCUGCAAAUUUUUCUAUAGAAAUGGCAGCAUCUGCAGCUUCAAGCUUUCAAAUAACAAUAGCUAGGCCAUCCGUACUCUCUACUAGAAGAAUUUCCAGUUUCUGCUCAACAAAGUUUGGUGGUGAAACUCAAAAACUGUCCUGUAACAGACUUGCCAGUAGUUGUCAUGUUUCAUCCAUUCAACAUUUUUGGCGCAGUUUCACAUCUACGACUCAAAAGUUACAGAAAGUUGUCACCAAGGCAAAAUCAGAAGCUGAUGAUAGCAAGCCUGCCUCUGUGUUGCCGAUUGAUUUGAGAGGUUAGGUUCUUCUGAUGGUGUUCUUAAGCUUUUCUCCUGUGCACUUUAAGAUCCUGAGGAAUGAGCGGAAGAGAUGGUGGAUGUCAACAGAUCUUCUUCCUCUCCCUUUUAAACUUUUUGAUUUCCCCUCAUUUCCUGCGCGAGUCAAGGAAAGCGAAUAUGUAAUCACAAAUAGAGAAACAAUGUUGGAAACAUUUACAGUGCAUAAUAUCCUUUUAGAAUUCCUAUCUUCUUUGGGUUACGACUUAACUAUAAAUGCAUGAUGAACUACUGUGUAUUUGUGAACAAAAAGUAACAGUAGAGAGGAUGCUUGUCGUUUUGACUGGCAUUUGAAACAUUAUCUGCCAAAGUGGAGUUUUUGACAGCAAACACUGUGAUAGCACAUUAAUUGCUGCUGGAACUCGGACGAGAGAUGGAGUGUGUAAUGUAACCGACAGAGAUUUGCAAUCUCAUUCAUGACAUAUAUUUUUAUGAUAUAUAACUUUCUUUCAUCUAUUUGUUAAUAUGUUUUAAUUUGGUAUUUCUGUUCGUGUAGCCCUCUUCCUUUUGAGAAAACUGUAAAUGCUGUUUGCAGGAAAAAGGGCUUUUAUAGCUGGUAUAGCUGAUGAUAAUGGAUAUGGGUGGGCUAUUGCUAAGUCCCUGGCUGCUGCAGGUGCCGAAAUUCUAGUUGGAACCUGGGUGCCAGUAAGUGAAAUUUACAAUUCGUUUGAACUCUCAGUUUAUCUUCAAACCUUUUGAUGUUUUUGCAUUUCUUUACAGGCCUUAAACAUUUUUGAAACAAGUCUUCGACGUGGGAAAUUUGAUGAAUCACGCGUGUUAGAGUCUAAACUUGUGUUUCUUUUGUACCACUACAAAAAUGGCUUUAUGACUAACCUCCUGCUAAAUACAUCUUUGUCAGUUUGCCAGAUGGCUCUUUGAUGGAGAUUACUAAAGUAUACCCCCUCGAUGCUGUUUUUGAUAGUCUUGAGGAUGUACCUGAAGAUGUAAUUUCAAAUCCUAUGGUUGUGUGAAAUUUUUUAUUGUGUUUCAUUUGCAUUUUCCUAAUACUAGUUUUUUCUCACCAUGCAGAUAAAAACAAAUAAGCGUUAUGCUGGUUCUUCUAAGUGGACAGUCUCGGUAUGUAGUUCUCCCCGUUCACACUUCUUUGUGCAUGCUGAACACAAUGAGUAAUUGCCAGAAAGUAAAAUAUGUAAAACAUGCAUCGUGAUUGUUCUUGAGGUUCCUUUUCGGGGCUUGAUUCUGCAUACUGAAAGCAAUUGAAUCAACAUUUCUUAAAAGUCUCAUGUAUCAAUAGUAUCUAUCAUAUUUUCCUUAAUCUUCAAAUUCUGCUUGUACUUGAAACUGUAGGCAUUCUUCAUCCCCCACCCCCACCUCCUUUUAAGAAACUACAGGCAUUCAUGAUGGAAAUAUGCGCAACAUGAUGUGCAUGGCUGUCGAGUGAACUGAUAGGCGACCAAUAAUAUCAAUUUACCUCAAUUUAAGUGUUCCAAGUUCGUGUUUCUAUUGCUUUUUUCUCAAGUAUACACCGAACUUCUACUAAUGGUUGUGCUGCCUCACCCACCUUCUGCAGCGCCAUGGUUGUUAGUUAUUACUCCCUCCUCAAUUUGUUGGUCUUACAUUCCUUUUUAGUCCAUUUAAAAAAUAAUUCUCUUUCGCUUUUUUGACAACUCUUUAAUUCUAACUUUCCACAUGUCAUGUUUAAGACCACAAGAUUAAAGGGCAUUUGGUAUGUUCUACGUAUCUUUAGUUUAAGACCACAAGGUUCAAAAGUCUUCUUUACUUUCUUAAACUCCGUGUCAGGUUGAAACUAGGCAAACAAAUUGAUACGGAAGGAGUAUCAUACAUGCAUAAAGCAAAUUAUAGUUAUCCACUUUUCUUAUCUCUGCUGCAGUUAUUCUUUUGUUUGUGUUGGCUAUCAUAUUAGGCUUGUAUCAGGACGUCUUCUCUCCCUGAUAUUAAUUUUUCGACCUCUGACGUUUGUAUCAGUGUUGCAUUUUCUCCACACCUGAUUUCUCUUGUUUAUAGGAAGUUGCAGAAUCUGUGAAGGAGGAUUUUGGCAGCAUCGACAUUCUUGUCCAUUCACUUGCCAAUGGGCCAGAGGUAUCAUCUUUCGAAAUUGUAAACCAGUGUUUCUUCAUCGGUGAUCCUUUUUCAUGAAAUCAUUCAACCAUUAGGUGACUAAACCUCUUUUGGAGACAUCAAGGAGAGGAUACCUUGCAGCAAUAUCAGCAUCAAGUUAUUCCUAUGUAUCUUUGCUAAAGCAUUUCCUUCCAAUUAUGAACCCAGGCAUGCAUCUAGUUUUCCAUCUUAUUACCCCUUGUUUGUCGAUUUUUACAAUUAUGUAAUUUCCCAAAAUAUUCCCUUUGAAAUCAAUAAUGGUUUUAUUACAGGUGGUUCUUCGAUUUCUCUGACCUAUAUUGCGUCGGAGAGGAUCAUUCCAGGGUACACAUUAUUCUUUCCCUUUUCUUGUUUUGUUUUUCGUUAAGAUUUUAUAUUUUAAAUCUGUCCCUAUGAGGAAUCAUCGGUUGAAAUGUGUCAUGUACAGAUAUGGAGGGGGAAUGAGUUCUGCCAAAGCAGCACUUGAGAGUGACACCAGAGUGAGUUGUUCCAUAUUCUCUACCAGUCGAAAAAAGAAAAUCAGACGAAAAGCCAAACGGUUUUCGCCCCUUGAAUCUCUAAUAGCCCUCAUUUUAUUGCAUCUAAUCAUUGAAAGGGAUCAUUCGAAUGAUGUAGGUACUUGCUUUCGAGGCUGGAAGAAAACAGAAAGUUAGGGUGAACACAAUAUCUGCUGGUAUGUUGUCCCUUCAUUGUCUGUUGGAUUGUCCAUAUUUACUAUUAACUGUAAAUCCUAUAAAGUUACUAGUUUAUUCCGCAAGGGUGAUCAGAAAUGUGAUGGUUAUUUUCCCUCUCUGUAACGCCCAUUUGUUAUCAUCUUGUAUACCUAUCUUCCCAUAAAUAAUUGUUUAACUAGUCAAACCGAACGUUUUCUCUUCGAUGUUGGUCACCAUUGUGUGUUAGGUCUUUAAUACAAUUGAAACUUGAUAGUGUUACGUACAUUUCCUGGUACCUAGAUUCUAGUUUCUACAUGAAAACACCUCAACCAAAUUACUCCUCCCGUUUCAAUUCAAGUAUCUUUGUUUGACUUCACAUAAUUGAAGGAAGAAUUUUUAAUCUUGUGGUCUUAAACUUAAGAUGUGUAUAAUGUACUAAAAUGUCCUUUGAAUUUUGUGGUCUUAAACAUGCCGUGUAGAAUGUUAGAAUUAGAGAGUUACCAAACAUAGAAAGAGAAAUUGUUGUUUGGGAUAGACAAAAGGAAAGUAAGACACUUAAAUUGAGUCGGAGGGACUAUCCAACUCACUUUUUCAUGUAAUGUUCCCUUCAUACAAAAUCUUUUAUUGAUAAGAGAAACAUCACUAUCCAGGCCCUUUACGAAGUCGAGCUGCAAAAGCAAUUGGUUUCAUAGAUAUGAUGAUUGACUACUCCAUAGCCAACGCACCUCUGCAGAGAGAAUUAUCAGCAGGUAAAGAUCAUCCACACAAGUUAUUUCUCACUAAAAAUCUCUUCUUUACCGUCUCUUACCUUAUCCUACUUGUCUGUUGUUAAUAUACCUUUCGGGGAAAAAACUUGUCGUAGAUGAAGUAGGGAAUACAGCUGCAUUCCUAGCAUCACCACUCGCUUCAGCAAUUACUGGUGCUGUUAUAUAUGUUGACAAUGGUUUGAAUGCAAUGGGCGUGGGAGUCGACAGUCCUAUAUUUAAAGACCUCAACAUUCCCAAGAGCACGGAAUAGAAGAUAUCGCGUGUUAGACGAGUUUGUAUUUGUGUUUUUUUUUCCACAACAUUCUUAUGGUCAGAGCCAAGAGUUUUCGGCCAUCGGCUUUCGUGAAAUUAUCUACUGCUGUAUGAUUGAUAUUUUUAUAGAGUAAAUAGAAGUAAUGAGUUUCCAGUUAUAAUCAUCUUUCACUAUAAUGUCCCUACCCAUAUUUGCUGAAAUAGAAACCUUAACUCUACUUCUCUUGUGUUGAUAAGUUUGACAAGGCGUCAGCAAAACACUGUUGUCUAUUUAAAGAACGAAAACCCCUUAGCAGCCCGUUGGAGGCUGUGAGUCUGUGACGAGAACAGGGGAUGGCCCUAUGCACACACAACAACACUCGAUCUAUGAAGUUAAGAGUUGAGUUUUUUUGUUGGCUUUCUCAAUUCAUCUCUAUGUUACAUCUCGAGGUGUAAAACAAGUACUUCUAGCUGUUUUGUUUGAAAACCCCUAGCAGCCCGUUUGAGGCUGAGAUGAUCUGUGUUAUAACUCGAGGUGUGUAGCAAGUACUUCUAGCUGUUUUGUUUGAAAACCCCUAGCAGCCCGUUUGAGGCUGAGAUGAUCUGUGUUAUAACUCGAGGUGUGUAGCAAGUACUUCUAGCUGUUUUGUUUGAAAACCCCUAGCAGCCCGUUUGAGGCUGAGAUGAUCUGUGUUAUAACUCGAGGUGUGUAGCAAGUACUUCUAGCUGUUUUGUUUGAAAACCCCUAGCAGCCCGUUUGAGGCUGAGAUGAUCUGUGUUAUAACUCGAGGUGUGUAGCAAGUACUUCUAGCUGUUUUGUUUGAAAACCCCUAGCAGCCCGUUUGAGGCUGAGAUGAUCUGUGUUAUAACUCGAGGUGUGUAGCAAGUACUUCUAGCUGUUUUGUUUGAAAACCCCUAGCAGCCCGUUUGAGGCUGAGAUGAUCUGUGUUAUAACUCGAGGUGUGUAGCAAGUACUUCUAGCUGUUUUGUUUGAAAACCCCUAGCAGCCCGUUUGAGGCUGAGAUGAUCUGUGUUAUAACUCGAGGUGUGUAGCAAGUACUUCUAGCUGUUUUGUUUGAAAACCCCUAGCAGCCCGUUUGAGGCUGAGAUGAUCUGUGUUAUAACUCGAGGUGUGUAGCAAGUACUUCUAGCUGUUUUGUUUGAAAACCCCUAGCAGCCCGUUUGAGGCUGAGAUGAUCUGUGUUAUAACUCGAGGUGUGUAGCAAGUACUUCUAGCUGUUUUGUUUGAAAACCCCUAGCAGCCCGUUUGAGGCUGAGAUGAUCUGUGUUAUAACUCGAGGUGUGUAGCAAGUACUUCUAGCUGUUUUGUUUGAAAACCCCUAGCAGCCCGUUUGAGGCUGAGAUGAUCUGUGUUAUAACUCGAGGUGUGUAGCAAGUACUUCUAGCUGUUUUGUUUGAAAACCCCUAGCAGCCCGUUUGAGGCUGAGAUGAUCUGUGUUAUAACUCGAGGUGUGUAGCAAGUACUUCUAGCUGUUUUGUUUGAAAACCCCUAGCAGCCCGUUUGAGGCUGAGAUGAUCUGUGUUAUAACUCGAGGUGUGUAGCAAGUACUUCUAGCUGUUUUGUUUGAAAACCCCUAGCAGCCCGUUUGAGGCUGAGAUGAUCUGUGUUAUAACUCGAGGUGUGUAGCAAGUACUUCUAGCUGUUUUGUUUGAAAACCCCUAGCAGCCCGUUUGAGGCUGAGAUGAUCUGUGUUAUAACUCGAGGUGUGUAGCAAGUACUUCUAGCUGUUUUGUUUGAAAACCCCUAGCAGCCCGUUUGAGGCUGAGAUGAUCUGUGUUAUAACUCGAGGUGUGUAGCAAGUACUUCUAGCUGUUUUGUUUGAAAACCCCUAGCAGCCCGUUUGAGGCUGAGAUGAUCUGUGUUAUAACUCGAGGUGUGUAGCAAGUACUUCUAGCUGUUUUGUUUGAAAACCCCCUAGCAGCCCGUUGGAGACUAAGACGAGGAUGACCCUAUGCACAGAUAUCAACAACACCGGUUCUUAUGAAGUUAAGAGUCUAGUUUUGUUGUUAACUUUCUCAGUUCAUCUAUGAGAAAUAACUCGAGGCGUGAAGCAAGUACUUCUAGCUGUUUUGUUUGAAAACCCCUUAGCAGCCUGUUGGAAGCUGAGAUGAAAAUGGUGGAUGGCAUAUCAAAAUCCGGUAUGAAAAACACGUAUUGGAGUGAAAAAGUCAUGUUUUGUAAACAAUGAAAGAAGAGAACAGUAACAACAAUAAAUACUACGAUAAUUGAAACAAAGAAAACUAAAAUAACACUACUAACAAAGACAAAUAGACAACGCUCGACUAUCUACUAACCUGACCAACAAAAAAUUGAUCCUAAGACAGUUAGAAUGUAUACAAUUUCUUAUUUACACCAAAAUGGCCUAUAUAUAGACAGUUUAAAGGACAACUAAAACUAUAUGUUCAUAGCAACUUCCUCUUCAGGCUCCUCCCAUUGCCAAUUUCAGGUGAGUUAUCGACAUCUGAACCUUCGCGUAAAACCUCACCAUGGUUCCUUGACAAUAUUUUGACUCGAGUGAUACGUAAUCUGAGUCUAGAACCAUCAACUGUAGCUAGUUUAUAAGCUUCAGUAUAGACUGGAUUCGUCGACAUGUCCUUGUCUGGUUUAUUAUCUUCAGUAAAGACUGGACUCGCCUUUAUUUCCCUGUUUGGCAUCAACUCUUCUCCUUCUGCUACUGCUUUCCUCAUCAACUGUAUGAACAAUGCCAUAUGGUAAGUUCAUCGAGUGCUCGUUUAACAAAGAAAUCAAAUCCAGAAUAUCGCGAAUGUAUGUCAUAAAACACACUAGGAUCCUGUUAAACUAGGUUAGCGUUUGGACAUAGAUUUGAUUGAAACUUGAAAAUACGAGUUCUUAAGGUACGUGUAAAAGAGAAACACGACACAGAUGUAGAGAUUCCUUACCUCCCAAUCAGCAAAAUCCAAUCUGAAGACAAAGUGGCUGUAUUUUACUUCACCAGACUUAACUAAAUUGGCAUCAGGACCAUUCCUUGGAGCUGAAAAGAGCAGAACAUAAGAAAGGGAAAAAAAAAAAAAAAGCUAUGCGUGGAGUUCAGGGAAGGGUCGGACUACAAGAGUCUAUUGUACGCAGCCUUACCCUGCAUUUCUGCAAGAGGUUGUUUCCACAGCUCGAACAUAGUCAACAAAAGAUUCGGAGAGGUAUCUUACUGAGAAAAUGAGCUCCAUUUUCAUCCACGUCUAUGACAACUCGUCCAUCUUUCACUAGAAAAGAUAACGCGAAUAAAUUCUCUAUGCUUUGCGCGAAGGAUGUUCUGUUCAGUAUGAUAUUCUCAAGCUUAACUCUCUUCUUCUUCCUUAAGAUCUGAAACAUGGUUGAUAUGUUCUUGUCCGUGUCUGUUAUCUCCUCCGCGUUAACAUCAAGCUGCGAUAGAGGCAGAACACGUAAAUUACAUCAUACUAAGCUGUGAUAGUUUAGAUAGGUAAACAAAACAAUGAAACCAUCAAGUCGAUAGUUAGAAUCCAAAUUGGACGCUAAGUAAGGGAAUUUGCUAAAUGCACUCAUACAUCAAUUGACAACAGGCACAUGUAGGCCAACUUAGCAUCGAGAUGUGUUUUAGUAUAAAAAGAGUGAUAGUUAAGGUAUGAAACUCGCGAAAAGGUGAUAGUUUAGAUAGGUAAACAGAACAAUGAAACCAUCAAGACGAUAGUUAAGAAUCAUAAUUGGAUGCCAAGUAAGGGAAUUUGCUAAAUGCACUCAGACAUCAAUUGACAACAGGCACAUGUAGGCCAACUUAGCAUCAAGAUGUGUUUUAGUAUAAAAAGAAUGAUAGUUAAGGUAUGAAACUUGCGAAAAGGUGAUAGUUUAGGUGGGUAAACAGAACACUGAAACCAUCAAGAUGAUAACAAAUCCAAAAAUGGACACCAAGUAAGGGAAUUUACUAAAUGCACUCAUACAUGAACAUGAGUACUACAAAACACACUUUUACAACAACAAAAACAAUGAGAAACAACAUACCUCCUUUGGUUGAGCGCGCAAGUACAACUUUGAACGUGGUUUACGUGUAUACUUACGUUGCUUAACUUCACGAUCCAUAGGUCCAAUCCUUCAAGAACAAAGCAACAAAACAUAAAAAAUGCAAGAUCACAAGUGAAGCAAAAUAAAAGUUGCCAAAACAAAAACUCACAUGGUGUGAAAACCACUGAUGCCAUUGCUAAAAAUUGGCGAAACAGAACGCCCAAUUUUCUUCCAAUGUAACGUAGUUGCACUCCGAGAGAGUCUUUUGGGACUUUGCGUCCCAAAGACUCCGAGCAAUGAGGAGAUGAACAUAUUCGGUGUAAUUCCAUCAGCAGAAUGUGAUCUAACAGAAGACACCAAAGUUUUGGCAAGAUCUAACAAUGUCUCUGCAUCUGCAACUUGUUCUCUUGGCUUUUUAACUAACAAUCAAACACAACAAUGAAUAAGUUAAUACUCUCUCGUUCGUCUAUCUGGUUUUGACUUCACACGGAUUUCAAGAAAAUAAAAAUACUUUUUAAUCUUAUGACCUUAAACUAAAGAUAUUCAUCAAAAUGUUCUUUAAUUUUGUAUUCUUAAACACGUUGAAAUUAAAGAGUUGCCAACAUAUAGGAAAGUAAGACAAACAAAUUGAAACAGUAAACAGUUUUAAACUUUUUUUUUUUGGUUUCCCACUCAAUGUCUGGAGCCCACAUUGGAGCCCUAACUAAAUUCGGAUCGCACACUACAGGGCCCAUUCGGGGGUGACGCUCCCAACAUGAAAUCCAAGACUCGAACCCGAUACCUCUGGUUAAGGUUGAAAAAGUUCCACCACUACAUCACAACCCAUGUUGGUAAAACAGUUUUAAUUAUAAAAAAGCCAAAAUCGAUUUUAUACCAAAAGUGAGACAACAACAUCAAUAUGUCAUGUAAGAUGUGUGUGUACUUGUUCACAACUAAAUUUGCCAACUGAGAUCAAGUUAAAUAACUCGUUUACGCGUGUCCUUGUUCACAACUAAAUUUGCCAGCUGAGAUCAAGUUAAAUAACUUGUUUAUACAUAUAGAGAGAGUCAUAUCACAAAACAAAAGAAAUAGAGAAGAAAAAAAACCAGAAAAAAUACCUUCAUUAUGAGAACUUUCAAUUUCUUUCAUAAUUUUCUUAAACUUCUCAGAAUUAACACUUCCAAUAUCAUCUUUUCCCUCUGUAUAACACAUCAAAAACAAAAUAAAUCUUAUUUACAAAAUAAUAAUAUUAAUAUAAAAAGAGACCUAAUUAGCUUAUUUUAACAUAAUCAUUAACAACUGUUUCCACGACUCAAACUCAUAACAUAUAAGUCACACACGCUAAGCUGCAUACAGCUUCAAUUCAUCUUUUUUACAAAAUAUCUAGAAAAAUAACACAUAAACAACAAUAAAAAAAUACGAAAAAAUUACCAGAAAUACUAUUUUGAAUUGCAGAAUAUUUGCAACGAACACUUCUUGUUUGAGAUUUUGGUUCAUCAAUUAAAUCAUCAAACUCAAUUUUUGCCAUACUUUUUUCUUUUAUUUUUUACGACUUUGUGUAAAAAUAACGAUAAUCAAGAAUAUUUUUUCUUGUCUUCUUUUAUAAAAGAGGAAAAUAAAUAAAUUAACUUAUCGUUUCAUUAUUCCUUGUUACGGAAGUUACGGACUUCUUUUUUAUUAAAAAUCCUUAUCCUACGGAAUAUGAGUUUAGUACAUCGAAGUGUUCUUUAUUUUUGUUAGUGUAAUAAAAUUUUAUAUUAUUAGAACAUGUGUGAUAUAGUGUAUGUGUUACAGUACGUAAUUUAUUUAUCCUUAGUCUACGUGUAAUGGGACUUUAGUGCUCCUGACUGUUCUUUAUUUUUGUUAGUGUGAUAAAAAUUUAUAUUAUUAAGACAUGUAUUAUAUAAUGUAUGUAUUUGUUAUAGCACGUAACUGAUUUAUCUUCAUGUUAUAUAUAGCUUUUAUCAAAAUAAAAAAAAAUGGAGUACGAUAUAUAUAUGGGAAAUUUGAGUGAAUUCGUUGUUUAAUUUUUUUCCUAUGUCAAAAAAUAAAAGAAGGUGAUUAUCCUUAUCCUACGUGUAAUGGGAGUUUAAUUAGUACAUCAGACUAUUUCUUUAUUUUUGUUAGUGUGAUAAAAUUUUAUAUCAUUAGGUCAUGUACUCUAUAACGUAACUUAUUUAUCUUCAAAUACCUAAAACUUUUUUUUAAAAAAAACAAAAAAUUGGACUACGAUAUAUAUGAGAAAAUCAAAUAAUUUGAUAUUUAUUUAUUUAUUCCUAGGUCAAAAAAACAAAAGAAGUUCAUGUAACUUUUUUUUUUUUUAAAAAAAACUCUUUAUGUUGAACUAAUUAGAGAAAAAAAAAAUGAACAUUAGCUCACACAUAACUUAGACAAAAAAAAGAAUUAUGCAAAUUCAAUCAUGCCACAUUUUUUUAAGUUCAAAACACAUAAUUUGGGGGGAAAAAAGCAGUUUUAAUCCAUGGUGAUAAUAAACUGCGAAAUAUUAUCGUACCAACAAAACAAACAAAUUCAAAACACCUAAAGAGCGCCUAUAAACUCAAGCACCUUCUUGUUUUACCCAUCUCUCUCACAACAAUGGCUCUGAGCUCAAACGCGGUGGAGUAUUGAAGAGUGUCUUUUGGAUAGUAAACGAUAGCAUUGUUGAACAUCAAUAAGAGAUCUCUGAAGAAGCUGGCAAAUUUCAUGUUUGAAUAAAUACCUUGUUCUAGCUUGUUUUGAAUAAUUUGUAAAUCCAUAUGCUGCUUAAUUUGCUUGAUAUAACCAAAAUCUAGAUCACUUUCUUGAAAAAAAGACAAUAAAUAAUUAGCACUAAUAUUAUGACGCAUUUAAGAUUAUAAGUUCCAAAAUUCUUUCCUUCACAUCAAGUCAAAUUAAUUAAUAUGUGGCUAUAAUUAAACAUGUCCUUAGGGGGUAAAAAGAUGUGGAGUUCAAAAUUCAAUCAUUUCUAAGUUUUCUUUAAAAAAUAAAAUAAAAUUUCCAAUAUAAAUUAAAGAGGAAAGAACAUUACAUAAAAUAGAAGGAAAAAAAAGAAGAUUCACUUUUGUGAAAGAAAUAUAUAUGUAUCCAUCUUUUGUAAAUCAAACACUAAAAGAAAUAGAGACGAUAUAACUUUAGUCGUUGAACAUUAAGAAUUUAUCACAACUAGAUAUAUAAAAUUUAAUGAUAGACUAGCAAUCAAUAUACCUGACUGGAAAGUCGAGAUUCAAAAAAACAACAAUAUUCGUGAGACCUCAGUAUAUCAAGAACUCCUAUAAAAUCUUGAUCGAUAUUAUCCAUUUUGUCAUUAGAUGUAUCAUCUCCUUCUUCCUUAUCAGCAAUUCUCUUUUCUGCCUCUAAUUUGUAAAGCAUUUGAAGUUUUUUUCUAUAUAAACAUAAAAUAAAUAAGAUAUAUAUUAGUCAUCAAAUCGUCUUCUUCUUGUUAAACUUACAAAAAAUGAGUAUAUAUAAUUUCACCCUCUUAGGCUUAUAAUUGAAAAUUAGAAAUACUUGUUAUAAAUCAUCGAAAAGAAUAAUAUAUGUAAUUGAAGAGAGACAACAAAUUGUACAGACUGUUUGAGAAAUUGUUUACAAAUUUAUUUAAACAAUUUAACUUAUCAAAAUUUUGAUUUUUCCUUUUUAGCUUUUCUUAGUGUACCUAAAAAUUAGAUCUACAAACAUAAAUUUGAACAAUUAAAGAAGUCAAAACUAAUGCAUAAUUAUAUUUUAUGGGACCAAUUUUUUAAGCUAACAAUUAUUUAGUUUUUUUUUUAUAAGAAAAAAAUGAUGAAUUAACAAUGAAAUUUGUCUUCAAAAAGUCCAUAAUUAAUUCUAACUCAACAAAAAAGAAAAAAAAAUUAGUGGUAGAUUGUACCAUAUUUUAUUUGUGCCCUAUAACUCCUAAGAUCUAGAGAAGAUAUAUACCUUAUAUUUUUGUGUCCCCUAUUAAUCAAUUUAUUUAUUUUUUAAAAUCCAUCAUACAAAAAAUUAAUCAUGAAAAGCCCCAAUUCUCCAAGCAUCAUAAACAACAAUUAAAUCAAAAAGGAAAAAAGAGGGUUUUUUCUUCUUCUUUUUGCUAUUUUUAAAAAUAAAAAGAUAGAUCUUACUCAAUCAAAGCAUCAAAUAGUUUGAAUUCCUCUCUCAAAGCAUUUAUAUAAGUCUCUGUAAGUAUAUCUGUCAUCAACUUUACGAGUGCACUUUCAUCGUCAUCUUCUUCAUUAAAAUUCAUCUGAUACAAAUUCUUAAAACGCUCUUUUAAACUUUCGUACUUGAUCUGACAUUCUACUGGCGAUAUGUUAAAAACACAUCGACGAAAAUGAAAAAUGGCUUUGGAGAAUUCAGCGGCCACCAUUUCCCACUUGUCUAAUCCAUGCAUUCUCACUGAACAUGCAAGCAAAAGAUCAUCUUGGACUUGAAGUUUCUCCAUUUUUUGAAGAAUUUUUUUGAGUUUUUUUUAGAGUAAUUAAUCACUUGGUAAAUAAUAAUUCAAUUUUUUCUUCUUUUUAAAAUGGUCAAUUUUCUUUUAAGGAAUAGUUAUUAGAUUUUGUGAAUAUAAUUUUGAUCAUUUAUGGCUUAGAAUGAAAUAAAGCCAGCUAAUGUAAAUGUGGCAAAAAGAAAUAAUUUUUUUUUGCCAUCUAUUCAUUAUAUAUGAAAUUACUUUUUUGGAUCAUAUUUGAUUAUUUAUUUUAGGUAAAUUAAUCAAGUUUGAAAGAUUUGCUCAUUUUAGAAAAAUAUUUAAUAUUUAUGGUCAAAAGCCUAUUAAGUACUUUCAAUUUGAAGCAUAAAUACAUAGAUGAAAAUUUAUUAAAUAUUAAUUAAUACCAAGUUUGAAUAUAUAAUUUUGAAAGCAUAUGCAACAAGUACAAUAUUAAAAACCUUUUAAAAGUUAAAUUCAUCAAGUUUAAAUUUUGAAAGUGAAUUCAGAUAUAAUAUGGUGCACUUAAUUUUCGCUAGGCGCGAAAAUCAUAAAAACAUUUGGACACAAGAAUCUAUAUACACAAUCUUAUCAUGUAUACUUUCUUAUCAUGUAACUUUUUCAAGAAGUUAUUUUUCUGAAUCCAUGAUCUCAUGAUCACAACUAUAAUUUUACUAGUUAUGCAACCUUCUUUUAGUGAUAUAAGACAACUAUAUGUGAAUGAACCUUCUUUUAACUUUUAUUUUUUCCAUAUUUAUAGCCAUUUUUUUCUUUUAUAGGAUAUCUCACUAAAUAUUUUCAUAAAAUUAAAACAAAAAGAACAUGGGAAAAACACAUGGUUUUUUUUGGGGGAAUUCAUUUAUGAUUCUAAUUUUCUUUUUUGUUAAUAGUCAAUUUUAAUGAUUUUCAGUUACUUCAUUUAAUCAAUUUUUUUAAAAAAAUUAGAAAGUAAUUUAUUCUUAACUUAGAGUUUGAACUAAAACUGUUGUAUACAGAAAUUUGACAGAAAUCAUAGGUGACUUCUAGUUGAGGCACCCAAGUAACUUAUUAGUUUAAAUCAUUUGUACAUUAAACUCACUUAAUUAUAUAAUAACCAUAAUUUUUCUAAUUUAAACCUUAUAUUCCUAAAAUUAUUUGCCAUCUUUGCUUCAUUUUUAGUAUAAGUUAUUAGGACAUGUAUUCUAUAGUUUAGGUGUUAUAGUACAUAACUAGUUUAUCCUUAUGCUACGUGUAAUAAGAAUUUAGUGCACCAGACUAUUCUUUAUUUUUAUUAGUGUGAUAAAAUUUUAUAUUAUUAUAUGUUAUAGUACGUAACUUAUUUAUCGUCAAGUAAAUAUUUUUAUUUUCCAUCAACAAUUUAAUAAAGUAGAAUUUGAUUUAUUAGACGUUAGGAAGACAAGAAUCAGUCAAAAAAUUUGUAUGUACUUGAUUGCAUAGACAAAACAAAUGGAAAAUAAAGAUACGAUAUAUAUUAGCUUACAAGAAAAAUUGAGAGUAUACUAAUUGAUAAAUUCUACAACAAAGUUUAUGUUUUCAAGAUUAAUAUCAGCUUAUGGAUGUCCCUCUAAGCAUUCUACAUUAGGAUCAUCAUCGUCUUCCUUGUCCAUAAUAGAAAGUACUUCAUCUCUAACAUCGUCGUCCUCUACAAUAAUGUAGUCUUCUAAUUACAAAGAUGAAUCAAUAAGUUCUUUAACGUCAUUCAUAUUCUCAUCGCUAGUGAAUUUACGCUUCUUCUUUAUCUUACAUAUUACAUGACCCUUAUUCUUAAUUUCUUUUGCACCCAAAUAACCAUCAUACAAAGAGUAUUCAAUCAUUAGCCACUCGCCAUUAGCAUUCUUGUUAUUACUUUCGUCGUAGGUGUACUUCAAACUUUUCACGUACCCCAUAAGUCUACCUUUUUUGUCAAACACCUCUUUUCCCUUUCCUUGUGGCUUCCACGUACCCUUCCCCACAGUUCGCGCAACUCUUUUCCAUUUCAAAUUCUUUUCUUUUGGGGCGUUAUGAAGUAACGUGUGUAGCUCUUAGUGCCUUCAAAAAUCUGCCAUGGUUCAUUUUCCGCAUAAAGAUUAACCACCUGCAUAAAUUGAUCCUGGUUUGGAAGUGGUUCAUUUCUCGUAAACUCUACUAAAUAUUUCAUGAGUUCUAUAUUCUUAGGAUAAAAUAUAUGGCCCAACGGUCUUCCCUUAGCUUGAGCCAUUAUUUUAGUGAUUGAUAAAUUGAAGAAACAAUAAUAUGAAUAGAGCUAUAGAUCGAUCUAGCUAAAAGAAAAACUUACCCUAAUGAUUAAGAAGAUGAACAAGUUGAUUACUGGAGUAUAAUGAUUUUAUAGAUUAAUCACUCCAAAUUAUAUAGUUAAUGGAAAUGACGUUUUUGGUAACUUUUUAUUUUAUCUUUCCUUUUGAAUUACUAAUUACUCCUAACUAAAUUAUAUAGUUAAUGGAGAUGACGUUUACUUUUUAUUUUAUCUUUCCUUUUAAAUUACUAAUUAUUCCUAAUCACGUAGUUAAUCACUAAUAGAAGCUUUGGAAGCUUCUUUUUUUGAAUUACUUAUUUAUGCUUUGGAAGUUUUUUUUUUCUUUUUGAAUUAAUAGUUUAAGCUCCCCCGUGAGAGAACAAGGGGAAUAUGAUGCUAAAAAGAAAAAUAAUAAAAAUAAAAUUAUGAGUUCUAAACUUUUUUUUCCUUUAGUAGGUUGGAAAGUUUUGAAAGCUUCUUCUUUUUUUAUCCCUUAAUUGAUGUUAUUUUUUGAUGUUAAUUAUUCAACAAAAUAUGUUUUAUUUUAAUAAUAAAAAGCAUAUACAUCAGCACAAAAUAAUUACUAUAUUCUCAAUCCUAAUAAUUUUUAUCUAGCCUGGGAUGGGAGGGAGUAGAUCCUGCUUCAUAUUUGUUAAUUCAUUUCUGGUUUACACGAUUUCAGGCAGAUAAAACAACUAUAAAAGCUAUGCUUGUCAAUCGAGUAGGUGAUUUUGAAUUAGCUCCUGUGAUUUUGGAUUAGCUCCUGGGAUUUUGGGUUAUUUUACUCUAUUUCAAACAGUAGAUGUAACUUUUGUUAUUUCAUUACUUUUAAUCACUAUUAGAAAUAUAGGUUUUCACCCAUUUUCUAUUAAAUCAGCUCAUGACUAAAAAAGAAAUUGACUGAAAUAUUGAAAAAUUCCCUAAUAUUUUUGUACAAAAAUACUACUAUUUUUUUUCCAUCGAUUUAAUUAUAUUAUAUUAACUAAAAGUUGACUACUUAAUAGAAAGAGGCGUAGUGAAGCUUAAUUCUGCCUAAUUACUAAGAUUGGAGCUACAUGUAAUCGUCUAAAAGUAUGGUAUAUUUUAUUUUAUUUUUUGCUAUUUCAUGACUAUAUUGUUUUUUUUUUUUCGAAAAACAAAAGAAGUUGAUAAAAAAAAAUUUUGAAAAAAAAAAACGCUUUAUGUUGAACUAAUUAGAGAAAAAAAAAAAUUAGCUCAUGAGCUCACAUACCAAACAAUUUUUCAUAGAUCAUCAACUGAAUUAUGCAAAUUCAAUCAUGCAACAAUAUUUUUUUUUGUUCAAAACACACAUAAUUUAAAAUAAAAAAGAAAAAGACUAGCACUCCUCUUGACAUAUUUCUUACCAUCUCCUUGAGCUUUGUUACACGUCUUUUUCUCCAAUUUUUAACGCACUGCAGGUAAUGCUAUCACAAUUUUACGAUGAAAUAAGAGUUUUUUACCCAUCUCUCUCACAAUGGCUCUGAGCUCAAACGCGGUGGAAUAUUGAAGAGUGUCUUUUGGAUAAUAAACGAUAGCAUUGUUGAACAUUAACAAGAGAUCUCUGAAGAAGUUGGCAAAUUUCAUGUUUGAAUAAACACCUUGUUCUAGCUUGUUUUGAAUAAUUUGUAAAUCCAUAUGCUGCUUAAUUUGUUUGAUAUAAUGAAAAUCUGGAUGACUUUCCUGAAGAAAAAAAAACAAUAAAUAAUUAGCACUAAUAAUGAACUAAUAACCUAAGUUUUAUGAUCUUAAUAUUGUACAUUUGAUAAUUUCACAUUUUACAAUGAAUUUAAGAAAGAAUAAAAAAGACUUUUGGUCUUAAAUAUGUUAGAUAUUCCUUUCAUUCUAUGUAACAUAUUUUACUGUCAAUUUGUUUAAAAAAUGACAUAGGUCUAUAAUAAUCAAGCUUUAAACUUUUCAUUUUAUAAUUAGUGAAAAGUUCUAUAGUCACACAAAUAUUAUGAUGCAUUUCAGAUUAUAAGUUUCAGAAUUCUUUCUUCACAUCAAGUCAAAUUAAUUAAUACAUGGCUAUAAAAACAUGUCCUUAGGGGUAAAAAAAUGUGGAGUUCAAAGUUCAAUCAUUUCUAUGUUUUAAAAAAAAUAUUUUUUUCAUAAAAAAUUAAUAAAGAGGAAAGAAUGUCACAUAAAAUAGAAGAAAAAAACAUUCCUUUUUAAAAGAAGAUUCACUUUUGUGAAAGAAAUAUAUAUGUAUCCAUCUUUUGUAAAUCAAACACUAAAAGAAAUUGAGACGAUAUAACUUUUGUUGCUAUAACACUAAGAAUUUAUUGCUCUACUAGAAACAUAUAAAAUUUAAUGAUAUAUAGGUUAACAAUGGAUUUACCUGACAAAAAAGUCGAGAUUCAAAAAGACAGCAAUAUUUGUGAGAUCUGAGCACAUCAAGAACACCUAUAAAAUCUUGAUUGAUAUUAUCCAUUUUGUCAUUAGACGUAUCAUCGCCUGUUUCCUCAUCAGCAAUUCUUUUUUCUGCUUCUAAUCUGUAGAGAUUGUGAAGUUUUUUCCUAUAUAAACAUAGAAUAAAUAAAGAUAUAUAUAUCAAUAUAUCAAAUUGUCUUCUUGUUGUUAAACUUGUAAAAAAAAGGAGAAUAUAUAAACUUGGACAAUAAAAGAAGCCAAAACUAAUGCAUAAUUAUAUUAUUUGGGGACAAUUUUUUAAGCUAACAAUUAUUUAGUUUUUUAGAAGAAAAAAAAUUAUGAAUUAACAAUGAAAUUUGUCUUCAAAAAAUCCAUAAUUAAUUCUACACUCAAAAAGAAAGAAAAAAAUAUUUUUUUAGUGGUAGAUUGUACCAAUUAAUGAUAUUUUAUUUAUGCUCUGUAACUCCUAAGAUCUAGAGAAAAUAUAUACCUUAUAUUUAUGUCCCCUAUUAAUCAAUUUAUUUUAAAAAAAUCCAUCAUACAAAUGAGGAUCACACAAAAAAUUAAUCAUGAAAAACUACAAUUCUCCAAGCAUCAUAAACAAAAAUUAAAUCAAAAAGGAAAAAAAGGGUUUUUUUUGUUGUUGCUAUUUUUAAAAAUAAAAAGAUAGAUCUUACUCAAUCGAAGGAUCAAAUAGUUUCAAUUCCUUUCUCAAAAUAUUUUUAUAAGUCUCUCUAAGUGCAUCUGCCAUCAACUUUACGAGUGCACUUUCAUCAUCAUCUUCUUCAUUAAAAUUCAUCUGGUACAAAUUCUUAAAACGCUUUUUGAGACUUUCGUACUUGAUCUGACAUUCAUCGGGCGAUAUAUUAAGAACACAUUUACGAAAACGAAAAAUGGCUUUGGAGAAUUCAGCAGCCACCAUUUCCCACUUGUCUAAUCCAUGCCUUCUCACUGAACAUGCAAGCAAAAGAUCAUCUUGGACUUGAAGUUUCUCCAUUUUCUAAAGAUUUUUUUUGAGUUUUUUAUUAGAGAAAUUAAAUCACCUGGUAAAUAAUGAUUCAAUUUUUUCUUCUUUUUUAAAUGGUCAUACUUAGCUUUUAAGGAAUAGUUAUUAGAUUUUGUGAAUACAAUUUUGUUCAUUUAUGGAUUAGAAUGAAAUAAAGUCAGCUAAUGUAAAUGUGGCAAAAAGAAAUAAAUAUUUUUUGUUUUUUUUUUGCCAUCUAUUGAUUAUAUGAAAUUAUAUUUUUGGAUCAAAUUUAAUUGUUUAUUUUAUGUAAAUUAAUCAAGUUUGAAACAUUUGCUCAUUUGUAAAAAAAUAUUUAAUAUUUAUGGUCAAACGCUUUUUAAGUAUUUUAAUUUAAAGCAUAAAUACAUAUGUGAAAAUAUAUUAAAUAUUAAUUAAUACCAAGUUUGAAUUUAUGAUUUUAAAAGCAUGUGCAACAACUAGUAUAAUAUUAAAAAUUCUAAAAUUUAAAUUCAUCAAAUUUAAAUUUUGAAAGUGCAUUCACAUAUAAUUAGGUGUACUUAAUUUUCGCUAGGCGCAAAAAUUAUAGAAGAAUUUAGCCACAGGAAUCUAUUAUAGGCAGUCUUAUCAUGUAUACUUUUUCAAGAAAUCAUUUUUCUACAAUAUGAAUCUGAAUCUAUGACCUCAUGAUCACGGCUAUAAUUUUACUAGUUACGCCAAGACUUCUAUAUUAUAAGACAACCAAUUAAUUAAUUAGUGGUAUAAGACAACUAUAUGUGAAUGAACCUUCUUUUAACUUCUUAUUUUUUUCCCAUAUUUAUAGCCAUUUUUUUCUUUUAUAGAUUUUCAUAAAAACAAAAAGAACAUGGAAAAAAACAUGAUUUUGUUGGGGGAAUUCAUUUAUGAUUCUCAUUUUCUUUUUGUUGAUAAUCAGUUUUAAUGAUUUUCAGUUACUUGAUUAAAUCAUUUUAAAAAAUAAAUAAAUUAGAGAGUAAUUUAUUCUUAGCUUAGAGUUUGAACUAAAACUAUUGUAUACAGAAAUUUGACUGAACUCGUAGUUGACUUCUAAUUCAAGUACCUCAAUAACUUUUAGUUUAAAUCAUUUGUACAUUGAACUCACUUAAUUAUAUAAUAACCAUAAUUUUUCUAAUUUAAACCUAAUAUUCUUAAAAUUCUUUGCCAACUAUGCUUCAUUUUUAGUAUGAGUGUUACAAAAUUAUCAUGUAAGACGCCACGUAGGAUAAAUGUGUCUAUUCUACGUGGCGUAUUAUGGUCCUAUAUGAUAUACUACAUAUAUUAUGUCACGUAAGACAUAUGUGUCUAAUUGUUUAACUUUGUGUAAAUUUAAGUGUCCAUUUGUUUAUAUAUAACAUUAAGGGAAAAUUAUGCAGAACAACAAACAUUUAACCUAUAUUAGGUACUAUAAUUAUAGUUUAAGAAAAUUGUAAUUCACGGCUAUAGUUCCCCAAUUUUUGCUAUUCUUCUGAUUUAUAUUAUUAUAUAAUUUGUCUGCUUUAUAUAAAUCCAGAAUUUGUAUAAUUCAGUUCCUGAUUGUACAAAUCUAGAAUUUCGUAUAUACUUACUCUAGCUAUUUGUAUACGAUUUAUAAAAAAAUCAUAUUAAAUUACCAUGUUUGUAUAUUGGCAAGUAAAAUAUACAAAUGGACUUCUGAAAAAUUUCUGAAUGUAUAAAUACAAAAUUUAUAUAUACUUACUCUAUUUGUAUAUUCGCAAACGAAAUAUAUAAACGAUCAGAAAUAUGCAAACCGCAGCCUCCAUAGCAAACAAAACUAUAACUAUGAAGCAGAAUUAUCGAAACUAUAGCUAUAGAACGUUAUUAUGACCAUUAUGUUUGCUAUUUCUAAAAUUUUCUCUACGAAAGGGCACAUAUAUCAUAUGAAACCAAGUUAAAAAGUAACUUAUAAAAGUAGCAAAGAUUGACCCUUAACUUUUCCAAUUUGUCAUUUUGACCCCCAAAAAACCUAAACAGGAAAUUGACUGUCCCAUUCUUCCCCAAAUCAUCAAAAAUGUCAAGAGCUCCUACUAUAGAUUCUUGUACAGUGGAAACCAGUGAUGGGGUCAAGCUCCAUGCCACAAUUUUCAAACCAAACCCAUAUGAAGAUGAUGAAGAAGAUGCAGUAGGUGAAGAAAUAAGCAAAAAUAGCUCAUGGGUUGUGGUUUUAGUUCAUCCAUAUUCAAUAUUAGGUGGUUGUCAGAGUCUAUUGAGAGGAAUAGCAAGUGGGUUAUCAAGAAAAGGGUAUAAAGCUUUAACCUUUGAUAUGAGAGGUGUUGGAAGAUCAACUGGGAAGCCUUCUAUUACUGGGUUUAAGGAAAUUAAGGAUGUGGUGGCUGUUUGUAAAUGGGGUUGUGAAAAUCUAUCUGUCAACAAGAUUUUGUUGGUGGGUUCUUCUGCAGGUAUAUAGAAUUUUAAAUUUGUUUCCUUUUUAGUGUAUAGAUGUAUUUUUUGGGGGUUUCAAGAUUAUGGAGUUGUCUCUAAAUUAAGCCUGUUUUGAUGUUUGAUUCAAUGGAGCUUGUAUAGUAUUCCACUAUUUAGAAGUUAGGGUAGUAGGUUAGGAGGUAGUAGAGUGUGGUCUUACUUAUACUUACAUACUAGUAGUCGUAGUAUUACUCGUGUAGGUUAGGAGGUAGUAGAGUGUGGUCUUGCUUAUACUUACGUACUAGUAGUCGUAGUAUUACUCGUGUAGGUUAGGAGGUAGUAGAGUGUGGUCUUGCUUAUACUUACGUACUAGUAGUCGUAGUAUUACUCGUGUAGCUUCUUGCUUGUUGCUUCUUAUACUUCGAUUGUCAUAUUCUUUGUUUUGUUUUGUUGUAGUUAUGCUUUGUUAUGCUUUCUGUAAUGUUGUGCCAUGACUUCUUCAUUUAUGUUAUUUCCUUUUCUGAACUGCUUUGAUUUGUUUUUCAUCUAGCUGAGGGUCUAUUGGAAAUAGCUUUUUCUUCCUCCAGGGUUGGGGUAAGGUUUCACUUAGUACUUUGUGGGAUUACAUUGAGUAUGUUGUUGUUGUUGUUGUUGUAUCGUUGUGUUAUUCCAAACAAGGACUGCAUUGUGUCAGUUCAUUUAAUGGUUAAAUUACACUGAUAGUGUAGAUAUUUUUAGCUGAGUUGCAUGGAUUCUUCACUUUCAAUGUCUCACUCAUGUUGGAUUCUCCAAAAAUACACUGCUUUUGGAGAAUCUGACAUGCACCCAUUGACAUUUUUGAAGAGCCCGAGCAACAUAGAUUUUUAGUGUCUAUAGAUGGUUUUUUGGUUCUUCGGAAUGAUGGGGUUGCCUCUAUAUUAAGUUUGUUUGAUGAAUGUGUUUGAUGUUUGAUUCAAUGACCCUGAUAAGUAUUGCCACAAUUUAGAAGGAUUUUCCAAAUUUUUUGUGUCAUCCUUGUGUUUUCCAAAUAAAGAGUGCAUUGUGUCAUCAGUUCAUUUAAUUUUAAGAGAAUUACUGACUGUUUUCUGGUAGCUUUAAUUGUUAGCUAAAUGCUCUAGUUUAUUGUAGUACACAGCUAGAUGCGUUGAGUUUGUUGGAUUACAAGGAUAUAUAAGUUGAUUCCUAUCAAAUAAGCUAGUUCUUGAGUCACAUUUGAUAGGAAACUGCUGCAUGGUUUCAGUAGGAGAGUAAGGAAGCAAGGAGAACUCGUGGAUUGUGGUUUUGGUUCAUCCAUAUUCAAUAUUAGGUGGUUGUCGAGGUAUAUGGAGAGGAAUAUCUUUUAGAAGUUUCUUGCACUUCUAAAGUUUAGAUUUUUCUUAAGUACUUUAUGUUAUGUGCUCUUAUUACACUAUUAGGUUAAGUAGACUGUUCCUUUUUUCAGAAUGUUUUGUCAUGCUUUCUAUAGUAUUUUGCCACGAUUUUUAUUCAUUCCCGUUAUUUCUUUUUCGAUCUUCUUUGAUAUGCUAUUCCUUGAGUUGAGUGUCUAUUGGAAACGGUCUCUCUACCUCCCAAGGUAGGGGUAAGGUCUGCGUACACUCUACCCUCCCCAAACCCCACUUGUACGAUUACACUAGGUAUAUUGCUGUUGUUGUAAGGGUGAGAGCUCUAUUUUGCAAAUACUUGGUGUCUUUAACAUCCAUCCGCGUAAACGUGAUUUGUUGCUACUCAAGUUCCAUACUUGUUAUUUUCUUUUGCUGCUACUUUUAAUGGCAUAGUGUUGGAUGUUUCAUUCUCUCUUUCUUGUCCAAAAAAUCGAGGUGCUAAUGUAGUACACAUUUAAUCAUGUUGUAUUAAAACAAGGAAAUGCUACCGUAAAACAAUCAGAUUGAUGAAUUAUAAAUAGUGAACUUCAAACUAGUUUGCCUUUUUAUAUUUCUGUGGUAUCCGUAUGCAGCAGCAAGCGAUUCUCAAGAACGUUAGGAGUCUAAAAUCACGUCCCUGGCGGAGUUGACUCAUAACUUUCUUCUGUUGGCAAUCAUUAAUGACCAUGAAUUAUUUAUAGAAAGCUUUGCCACAAAAAUGCACACAAUGGCAAUAAUUAGAUAAAACUGUUUUUUGCACUGUGAUGAUGCAUGUCUUUUCCUUUUUUCUUUCGGAAGAAGGGAAGUUUCUGAGGAUCACUGCUUUCCCAUCCUCUCAUAUUUGCCUGUCUCGCUGAUCUCCUUACUUUGAACUGUCUCCAUUGCCUUCUCUGAAUAGUAAAAUCAAGGUUAGUUGCCGCCUAAGUUAAACAUGUCUAGAACAAAAGCUUUUUGUCCUUUAUGGUCUUUUUAAGCCUGUCGUGAUGUAUGACAAUGUAAGUAUAUAUAGCAUGAGAUUGUAGUUGUCUUUUUAAGUAACGGAAGAGGGAAAGAAGAAUGUAGGAGAAGUAAGACCAUUUUUCCCGGUUAAACCUGAUCAAUUCUUUAGUGUAAGUGCUAGAAAUAGGAAGAGAACUUGAAGAGAGGGAGUACUAAAUAGGUUAAAGAGUUAGAACUUAGAGGCUACCUAUCAUUUUCACUUCUAGAAAAUCCAGUUGAGCGUUUAAAAUGAUAAUUCAUUCAGCUCUAUUUAUAAAUUCUCCGAUAUAUAUCCCCUUUGUCGUUAGUUUAUUCCCUCUUACACCUUCUCAAUGAGUUGUGUGACUCAUCUAAGUGCUCGUUGCAUUGCUUUGGUAAGCAAUAAAAGCAUGUCUCUCUAUCAUAUUCUCCAAUAUACCAUGUCAAAUGCCGUUUGAGCAGAUUACUAGUACUUUUGCUUCUUCACAAGACAAGCUACUUCUAAAUCAAUGAGAGAAGAUGUUCCAAAGAUUCUGUAGUAACAUAUGCAGUUGAUUCUUUUCUGGAACUUGCCGUGUUGAUAAAUACAACUAGCAUGGACUGGUUAACAAUUAUCGUAUUAUUUGUUGUUGCUACUUGUUCCUUUCUUAAUUGUUUUCAACACGGCUUCUUGCUACUGUAGUUGCUUUUCAUAUUUAAGGUAGGGAUAAGGUUUGCGUACACUCUACUGCCCCAAACCCCACGUUGUUGGACCAUACUGGAUAUGUUGUUGUUGUUGUUGUUAUCUCAUUAUCGAUAUACAUUUAUAACAGGUGCACCAAUAGCAGGCUCUGCUGUAGAUCAGGUUGAACAGAUUGUGGGCUAUGUAAGUAUUGGUUACCCUUUUGGUUUAUUAGCAUCGGUCCUCUUUGGGCGACAUCACAAAAACGUAUUAAAAUCGCCUAAACCAAAGCUCUUCAUCAUGGGGACACAAGACGGAUUCACCACCGUUAAACAGCUGAACAAUAAGGUUAGAUCUGCAGCAGGACAUGUCGAGACUCAUCUAAUUGAAGGUAUUGGCCACUUUGAGUUGGAAAGCCCUGCCUAUGAUUCCCAGAUGGUAAUUUUUAUUGCAGAAUUCAUCAACUCUUUGUAGUCCUCAAGAUCUGGCGUUGCACGGGAAGAAUUUACGACAUAAUGUGAUUCCCUAUGAACGACAUCCAAUCUUCUACACGCGGUGCAGUUUCAUAAUCUGGUGUUUUCUAGCUGGUCUCCAAAUGAAAAAUGAGAGAUGGAGUUGGAGUUGAUUUUGUGUGUGUGUGGGGGGGGGGGGGGAGGGAGUUCAGGGGGGGGGGUNNNNNNNNNNNNNNNNNNNNNNNNNNNNNNNNNNNNNNNNNNNNNNNNNNNNNNNNNNNNNNNNNNNNNNNNNNNNNNNNNNNNNNNNNNNNNNNNNNNNNNNNNNNNNNNNNNNNNNNNNNNNNNNNNNNNNNNNNNNNNNNNNNNNNNNNNNNNNNNNNNNNNNNNNNNNNNNNNNNNNNNNNNNNNNNNNNNNNNNNNNNNNNNNNNNNNNNNNNNNNNNNGUGGGUGGUGGGGGGGGGGGGGUAUGAGUUCACGGUGGAGGGUUGCCAGGGGCGGAUAGAGAACAUAUAUGGUAGGGAUUCGAUAGAACUCAAUAGCUUUGAACCUAGUGACAAGCGAGGAAUCGUCAGAACCUAUAAAUUUCAAAUCUUGGCGGAUGCCUCAGAGGGUGUUGGUGCUUUUAAUGAUUCUAAAUUUUAUAUUUUAACUGAAUUGUCACUUGGCUGUUGUGUGUGAGCAAUGAUAGUGUAUGUGCAACACCGUAAAUACUUACUCGAAUCGAGUGUUUAUAGUUGACUUGUACUUGGGUACAGAAUUUUACUGUCUCAAUGAAAAUCUUGGAUCCGUCACCAUUAUUGGUAUACUAGCGUUCAUCCUUUUUGUUUGACAUGUUAGAAAGUAUGGCCUAUGUUUAGAUUUUCGGGGUCAUAAAACACGAAUUCAUAAUAAUGGAUUUUUUAUGUUGUAUUUGUUGAUCUUUUUUGACGUUUCAAAAUCUUAAAACAUGAAUUUCAUAUUUAAUACGUGCUGAUUUUCAUAAAUGGGAGGUAUUUGAUACGAGUAAAAAUUUAAAAGUCGAAUUCUUUAGCACAUAAAUUUUAAAAUUCGGAGAUAUGAAUUUGAAUAGGGAUAUUGGUGUUGGGAUACCACCAAUAAUCAUAUGCUUUAAUUAAUUAAAAGUUUUGAAUUUAAACUAAUAAAUUAUAAAGUAUUCUUUAUAAACGCCUAAUGUUUUAUUUUUAUACUAAUUAUAAUUGAGACUUUGAAAGAGAUAACAUGUGCAUUUUCAGUGCUAUUUUUUGAAUUUGUCUCAUGCUCAUGUGCCUACUCCUUUUAUUCUUUUCUUGUUUUUUUUUUUUCCUUUUUGAGUGUCACAAUUCGAGUCUAUACCCCAGCUGAGAUACUGUACUCAAAAUCACGAUUGACUUGAAGCUAACCCUUGACAUAACAUAUCAGAGCAUAUCAUAUGAAACUAAUGCGAAAGCAGAAACAUAUGCUUAAUAAGUCUUAAUAUUAAGACGAAUGACGUCGUUAUAAAGAACCCUUGACAUAACAAUCAUUCGAUGUUUGGAAUUCACUAAUUUGAGACAAGGGAGAGUUGUUCGGAUAGUAAACACUCUUCACUUCCAACCCUAAGGUUGUGAGUUUGAGUCACCAAAAGAGUUAAAAGGUGGAAGCUCCUAGAAAGGAGUAAAAAAAAAUAUUUAAUAAUUCAACUUAUUCAAAUUCGGGCCGCAUAGAACUCACAAAAGGGAAAUCGAAAUCAUACUAUGCAAAAUUGUAAUGCGAUUAUACUAACACUAACACAUCAUAUUCUAUUAAAAUAGCGAAAUCAAGCAUGUUUAGGUGAGAGUAGUACUAAAAUAGGUGACCUUCUGCAAAGUCCUCGUAUUGCAUCCCUCCUUUCAGUUUCAAAAAGUAAUAUACCAAAAAAAUGGAGUAAUGUUCCUUUUAAGGGAAAAUUAUAUGAAAUAACAAACUAUUAAUUCAAAUUAAAUGUUAUAGCCAUAGUUUAUUUUAUUUGUAUUCGCAUCAAACAUCCCAUUUUUUUGCCAUCUGGUUCGGUAUACAAUUAGCCAUUUUCGAUAUACAAUUACUCAUUCGGUAUACAAAUGUAUAAAUAUUAUAAAAUGUGUUUUGUGUUUGUAUAAAGCGAGAGAAAGUGUAUAUAUAAUACGAAUACAUAUAUUUUCGUCCUAUACACUUACAAUAAUACAAAUACAAAUCUUAUUAUACAAAUUACAAUGUAUAAAUGAAUUUAUACAAAACUACACAAUUUGUAUAAAAUUGGAUGUAUCUAGCAAAUUAUACAAAUCAAAAGCUCCAUAGAAAACAUAAAAUUUGCUAUAGAACACAAUUAUGCAAACUAUAGCUAUAACAUACAAAUAUGAUUUUUAUGUUUGCUAUAUGUGAAAGUUGCUCUUCUUUUAAUCAUAUAGCAUUUAUUUUUCAAAUUGAUACUGAAUAUUAAGGCUUAAAUAUUAAAUCAAGUAAGGCAAAAAAGGUGUAUUGUUUUUUUUUGGUUUGAUAUAAUUAUUUUACUUUCAAAAUUUUAAUUAAUUUGAUUAAUUUGGAAUUGCAUCGCAUAGGCUCAUUUACGGGACAAACACUCCUUAUCAGAAGUUUCUUCAUUCACAUAACUCGAACUUAAGAUCUCUGAUUAAGAAUGAGAAAAUUUUAAUUCCAGCUAUCUCACCGUACCUUUUUUAUAGUUAUUAUUACUUAUAUUAUAUGCUUUUUAUAUUAAUAUUUUACUUUUUCAGCAAAAUUGUACUAGAGGGAUCUCAUCCUACAUAGUAAAAAAUACAACAAUAUAUCUUUUCACUUCAUCAAAAUUAGAAAAAAAAAAAACAAGGAAAGGAACUCCAUUAACAAUAUAAGUAUAUAUUUGCAUAUUCAUCAAAGUUAUACAUUACUAAAAAAAAUGUCAUUCCUACCUUAAUCAACCGAUUCACAAUUUAAAUUUUCAUAAAACUAAUAAGAAUAGAUGAAUAUAACACUCACAUAUGAUACAAUCAUAUCAACUUGUGAUUGAAAAAGUUACCAUCCAAGCCCAUGAUACGUAUUGUUUGCUUUGGCCCAACAAAUCUUACGAAUUUGUUCAUUGGAUUACGCAAUCAUACAACUCAUCCAAAAACGCACAUACCGUAUGAACUUCUGUUAUGCCUUGUAAAAUCUUUCACCUUUCCCUUCCAUUCUGAAAUGGAAUUCUCCUAAAAUGUCAUGUGCAUAUAUGAUAUAUCCUUAUUCGAAAGCGCUUACUAGCUAAACUAGAAGUCUGCAAGUCCUUCUCCAUGAGCGUUAUAAAAAAUAAAUAUAUGAAAAGACUAAUUUACAAAAAAAAAAAUUCCGAAAGAGAAAAAAAAAUGUUAAAUUCUCUUUUUUCAUUGUAUCCUAAAUUGUUAAGAAUGAAAAUAAAGGAAACCAAGAACAAAAAAAAAGGAUAAUAAAUAAAUAAAAAUAUCAAUGAUGUAUUUUAUUUUGAAUUGGAUUUGAAGAACUUCUAGGUUUUCUUCUUAAAUCAUUUUCCAAAGCUUUUUUCUCAUUCACAUUGCCAAUAUUUGUAGGAAUUGAAUUGAAAGAAACCAUUAAUCUUCUUGAAUAUUGGGAUUUUGUUUCUUCAAGAAUUAAUGUGUCUUCAAGUGAAAAAACCAUGAUGAAUAAAUGAGAGAAAAAUAGAAUUAAAGUAAGAAGAAAUAAUGUUCUAUGACUAUUUUCCAUAGUGUGGAGAACUUUAAUUUCAAAUGAAAAAUGGAGAAGUAUAUUUGGUUUUUUAUAAAAAAGAAAGAGGAAUCCAUUCUUGAUAUAUAGUUAAGUUAUGGCUUGUGAUUAAUCUGACAAAACAUGUGUAAAUGGAUAAAAUAUAAGAAAAAAAUGAUAGUAAUAUUUAAAGGACAGUCUAUAUAUAAUUUUUAAGAUUCACACCGAAAAAUCUCACUUUUAAAAAAUAAAAUACCAUUAAAAGAUUAACGGAGAAAAAAAGAAAAAAAAAGAAGAAUACUAAAAGUUCAAAAAGGGUUGAAGUGUGUCAAUCGUUAUCUUAACAGAUAGAUUAUCGUUGAACUCUAGGAAUAGCAUAAGCCCAUUACCACAAUUAUCUGAAAGUGAAUGUUGAAGUUUGUAGAAAUAACGUGAAUUGAUCACUUUUCGAUUUUAUCUUUAAAAAAUAAUUAUUGCAUAAUUUGCCUUUUAAAUGAACUACUCUUUGUUUUUUGCUCUUUACGAUUGAACUUAUGCUUGGAGAGGUAUAAGUUCGUUAGAAACUGAAAUCAUGUCCAGACGUAACUUAUGAGAUAUAUGAUACGAAAAUAUAAAUUUAUGCUCCGUACAAAAGAACAAAACUUCAAGACUAGCACAUGAAUAUAGGGGUAAAAAUGUAAAUGACCCCAUGAAAGCAACAAAACAUGUGAGACCUGAUUUGACUAAUAUUAAGUAGAUCUCUUUGAUUCAAAUCAUUUUUUUCUCUAAUUUUUAAGACUAUAUAUUAUAUAAAAGAAUAUGUUCAUGUGACUUUUCACAAGAUACCAAAUUAGUCCACUUUCUUAUGUGUACUUUUUCUUGUAUUAUAUUUUAAGCAUUUGAAUCUAAGGUUUUUCAGGAUCAAACAAGCACAGCUAAGGUUAGUUGGGAAAGAAAUAAGGAUGCAUGCUUUUAAACAAUAAUAAAUUAACAAUAUAAUAUGAAACUACGUUGUUCUGACUUUUCAAAAAUAUCGACGAGUGUGUGUUGGAUCCUCCUAAAAAUAGUAUAUUUUAUUUGAAGAAUUCGACAUGAGUGCAACAACAUUUUUGCAAAGUCCAAGCAACUUAAAUACACAGUCAGACUUGAUCAACAAUCGAUUUAUGUAACAAACUUUGACUAUAACAAAUAAAGGCAAACAAGAUGAGGAUGCUCAGAUGAAUGUAUGAAUAUACCAGAAAAGAUAGGAAUAAGAAUGAAGUUAUACAAGAUAAUUAGGUAGAAAUGGUCUGUGUCGAACAACAUGGGUGAAGCAAGAUUGAGAUAAUUAGGACAUGCUAAGAGGACGUGCAUGGAUGUACGAUUAAGAAUGUGUGAGAGGUUGACUAUAUCAGAUUUUUAGAGAGGUAAAUGUAGGUCGAAGAAGAAUGAGGGAGGUAAUUAGACAAUACUUGACACAUCUUUAGCCUUCUAAGGACAAAAUCUUAGAUACAAAGGUAUACAAAUCGAAGAUUAGUGUAUAUAGAACUUAUAAAUGUAAUAGAUAGUCAAGUGUUAUCGUACUUUUACGUGGGAAAAACAUGUUUCUAGUCUCCUCGGUUCAUCUUGUCCUUAUUUAUUAGUUUUAGUUAGUAUUUGCAUAGUAUCUUUUUCUUCUAUUUUUACUACUACUUGUUGCUUCUUUUGCAUUAUUCAUCUUGCUAUUUUGUUAUCACUAUAAUUUCACUCAUCCUAAUUUGAUUCGAUCAGAUCUUGUUGACUGAAUUGAUAUAUUAUUAUAUGUCAUAUUUCUUAGUCAAUAUCUUCCUACUCAGACAACGACAAAAAAAUAUUGCAAUCCAUCAUAAGUAAGACAAAUAUAUAGAAACAGAGAAAAUACUUCAGCUAAAUAGAGGAAACUGAAAUAGAAGGGCAAAUCGAUCAAUUUAAUUUUAAAUAUUCUUUAAAAAACAUAUUAAAAAAAAUACUUCAAAUAUUACUAGGAUGAAUCAGUUUAGUCUUUUAUGCAAAAAAAAAAAAAAAACCUAUAAAUCAUUCUAUUAUUAAUUACUCAUACAGUAUCAUUGUAUUGGUAACUAGUAUUUGUACUCGUGCGAUGUGCGGUUAUUAAGAAAAAAUUAGUUAUGUAAAAUUAUUAUCUUAUCUAUUUGAGCAUAUUAAAUCUUAUUUGUUUUGAUAAAACUGUAACUAUGAUUUUCCUUCCCAUGCAAUGUAUGUCAAUUAUAAAUUUUUUACUAAAUAAAUUAUGCUUUGAUUUUUCUAAUUUGCGUACAUUCUACCCUCUUUAAAUUCCACUUAUAAAACUACACUAGAUAUGUUGUUAUAAUCUUAUACUAUAACGUGUAAAGCUUUGUUGUUUGUAGUAGCGGUAUUAACAAUCGAAAUAUGAUCGAAAGAAAAAAUCUCAAUUUGUUGGAAAAUUUAGCUUACAACAAUAAAUUUAGUUUCUUAAUUGUGAAACGUUUAAUUACUGGAAUGUAUCCAAAUUCUAUUAUUAUAGUGUACACAUUUUGUGAAAUGACAUGUUUGCAUAUAACAACUAAAUAAAAUCUAAACGUCAAAUAUUGAUAUAGGUUUGCAACAACCACUCACACUAAAAUAGGCACAAAAAAAAGGUCGAAAUGAUGUUGUUAUAGAAAGAUUUUACCAGAGAGAACAAUUUUUUAAGUACGAUAACCAAUCAGUUCAAAUCAUGAAUCCAUCUAUGCACUUAAUGCAUAAAGUGCAUGUAGGUAUAACGGAGCUCUUCCAAUCUCUAAUGAAGGAGAUCCGCAACUUGAAUAGGACACAAGAAUCGAGACCAUCUCUACUCCUUUCUAGGUUUGUAAUGUCACAAUCGCGACCUACUGAUCUUCACUUCUAAGACACACGAGAAUCGAGACCUUCUCUACUCCUUUCUAGGUUUGUAAUGUCACAAUCGCGACCUAUUGAUCUUCACUUCUAAAACACAUGAGAAUCGAGACCAUCUCUACUCCUUUCUAGGUUUGCAAUGUCACAACUGCGACCUAUUGAUCUUCACUUCUAAGACACGCGAGAAUCGAGAAAAUCUCUACUCCUUUUUAGGUUUGUAAUGUCACAAUCCCGACUUAUUGAUCUUCAUUUCUAAGACACACGAGAAUCGAGACCGUCUCUACUCCUUUUUAGGUUUGUAAUGUCACAUUCGCGACCUAUUGAUCUUCACUUCUAAGACACGAGAAUCAAGACCAUCUCUACUUCUUUCUAGGUUUGUAAUGCCACAAUCACGACCUAUUGAUCUUCACUUCAAAGACACACGAGAAUCGAGACCAUCUCUACUCCUUUCUAGGUUUGUAAUGUCACAAUCGCGACCUAUUGAUCUUCACUUCUAGUACUUUUCAAUGAGUUCAAAUCAACCUUCAUGAAUAAGAAAUAAACGACCUAUAAGUAGAUCAUCGAGCUUGCGACUCUAUCUCUCUAUCUUUCGAUCGAUACACAGUUUCUUACGCGAUGCCUUUCAAGAGGAAAUGGUUGAUCAAUGCUCAAAGGAAACAAGCUAAUUGAAUUUAUAUUGGUAUGGAACUCGCGAAAAAAUGCAUUCUCCAACACAAAAUACGUGUGGAAAUGCUACAAACCCACCCCAUCCUUACCCGCACCCCACCCUCCGAAAAAAGGCGAUAUAAAAAGAGAAUAGCUAUACCUUUUACACAUUACUACAAGAACUUUAAGCUAAAAUUUCUAAUGCAUAUACAAGUUAAUAUCUUGUAUUAUAUAGUAGAAAGAAUUUAUGAGGAACAAGAAAGCAUGCCUACACCGGGACGAUAAGCCCAAGCUGGAGGCAGGCGCGCAUACUUCUCCAUGCCAGGUUGUUCGUCAAAUGGACGUUGCAUAACUUUCAAUAGUCGUCGGACCUCCCCAAAAUCUUCUUGUUCAGCUGCAUCUAUUGCACUUUGGCAUAAAUAGUUUCUAAGGAUGUACUUUGGAUUUACAGAAUUCAUCGAGGCCUUCCUCUCGUCGUCUGAUACACCACUAGUAGAGAGCUGUAGAGUAGAAUAGUGACUAGUUAAGCAUCUUGCAUGCAAGAAAAAAUUACAGAGAAGGAGAAGGGGCGGAGCCAGAUAGGGCCAAGGUUUCAUCCAAGCCCCCUUCGGCAGAAGAUUAUAUUGUUUAUAUGUGGUUACAAUUUGUCAUUCGAACAAAAUGACAAAUUGUAAACAACAGAGAUGGUUUCACGCCAGAAUCAUCAUCGUCAACACAACAAUUAAAAAUACAAUCAUAGUUGCAACAAAAUGGAGUUAUGUAUGUACUUUAAGCUUGUGCUUACAUCCCACUUCUUUCCCUUUUUUCUCUUUUUCUUUUUCCUCGUUUUUCAUUUUUAUGUUUUUACACUAUGGAGAGGCCGGGUGGAUCUAGGAUGGGUUCGGUAGUUAUAAGUUUCAAAAAAAAAGUUCAACUAUACCUAUUGGCUUGAACUAAAACAAAAUUGAAAUGUAUACGUAUUAGAUCAAACUUAUUCCAGAUCCACCGAUUUCUGCUCAUGUAAGCCUCUGAGGUCGGGAAGGGCAGGGACGUGGGGUGGUGGUGGUGCAGAGAUACUGAAGCCCUGAAAAUACAUAGAUCUGCAGAUGAAGUGAAUUAUCUUCUGGGAGAGUAAUUAUUUGACCUUCCCACCAACAGCAGCCCGUGUCUAAGGGGAACGGUGCAGGUGAGCAGGGGCGGAGCCAGAGGGGUGCAAGGGGGAUCCAUUGAAUCCCCUUCGUUGAAAAAUUACACUAAUUUAGAACCUUUUUUUUAAUCCCCUUGAUUUCCUGACUCCGCCACUGCAGGUGAGCAAAUAUCUUCCACACAAAUUAUGAGAGCACCAUGAAAAUAGUCUAAAAGCAAGGGCCUUCAUAGCAUCGCUUGACCCUUAGUUAUUAGUGAACAAGUUAUGAAAUGGGAUUUAACUUGCAAAGAUGAUAUGACUUUACAAUGCACUACGAGUCUACGACUGAGCUCAAGAAGAAGAUGACUCCUAAUUCAAAGAAAAAAAGAUAAUUGUACAUACCUCCUGUAUGUAGGAUUUCACCCAGCUUGUCCAAGCUUCCUUGCGCUCCUGACCAAUAUCCAAUAGAGCAGCUUUCAGAGGAAUCAGUAACUGCUUAUCUGAAAUUGUAGGAUCGGCUUUGAUGUUUGAUAGUAAUCGGAAGAAGUUUGUGUAAUCAACUUUAUCGACAGCCAUAUUCUUAAGUAGUUCACCAAUCAUGUGUUUAUUGUACUUGACCAAACCAAGCUUUUUGGUCAUGAUAACUUGAUAGUCAUCCAUAAAUUUGAUGCCAUACCUAAAAAAGUGGAUAGAUGAAACGUCACUCAACAGUAUAAAGAUGAAGACCAGCAACGGAAAGAAUACACUCCAGCAAAUGGUAGUAUUUUUGGUCACCUCUCCAUGGCAUAAUUUGCCUCCUUAUCAUUUAGCAACUGUGCAGUAGAUAGAGUAGUAGCAAACUGAGCAACAUUCCAUAAACCUAUAUCCGGCUGAUUCGCAAAGCAAUAUCUUCUGCCAGGUAGAUCAGUGGUAUUUGGUGUGAAACUGGGAUCAAAUGCGUCUAAAAAUCCAAAAGGGCCAUAAUCAAUGGUGAGGCCUAACACACUCAUGUUAUCAGUAUUCAUCACUCCGUGUGUGAAACCAACACCUUGCCACCUCGCAAUCGUGGAAGCAGUCCGCUCGGCAACUUCCACUGCCCAUGCUGAAAAAAUGAACCCAUACAUUAACGCAUGUGAGAAAAGUAAUUGUCAAAAUAUACAAAUAAAAAUAUUUUUUCUUCAGUUCCAUAACAAAAAUGCACAAUAAAUAGCACAGAAUGUAAUGAAAAUGAAGUUAGAACUAUGUUACAAGAAUACAUGUAAACUCCAAGUCCAUUUUUCCCAAUGUCGGAUGAACUAAAAAUACUUACAAACAGAAAUUAGAACAUAAGAUUCUUUUCUCUUCUAAGACCAAAGGUAGCAUCUUAUUACGACAAUAGGCACUUCCUUUCCUACAACAACAACAUACCCAGUGUAGUCCCACAAGCGGGGACUGGGGAGGGGAGGUUAGAGUGUACUGUUUCCAAUAGACCCUCAGCUCAAGGAAAAGCAUUUCAAAGGACAUUCUACCCCUCCUCAGACCCCAAUGUUAAAUUUCUGGAGUCUAGAACUUUGCUUGGUACUGUAUUAAUCUGGACGGUGGAGCUCUAGUAGAUCAUCACAAAGACCACACAAAUGACCAGCAAAAAAUUGUAUUAUCCUCGUUCACGUAGAUAUGGAAGGAUUUUGAAGUCCACUGGCAGAAACAGGUAAAAAUGAGGAGGUCAUUAAGACUUUGCUGACAAAGGAAAUACUGAGACAAGUACUAUCCAGAAGAGGCAAUUACUAUCACUGACAUUUAGCACAUAAACAAUCCAUCCGUACAUCCACUUCAAGAUAAUCAAUAUUACCGCAUUGUAUGGAGACCAAAAAGUAGAAUCUUUUAAUGACAAUAAAGUCCUUCCUUUUCUCGACACUAAGUGUUUUAAAUUCAGAAAGUAGAAGUUUUCCUCAAACUAACAACCAGAUGGAUGUUAGAAGCCUGACAGAUCACUACCAAGCCAGUACAAAUGGCUGGUAAAACACAUUAUAUUAUAUACCUUCCACUUAGACAUGGGAGGACAAAAAGGACCACUAGCAGAGGCAUAUAAAAACAUUAAGAAUCAUGCUGACAACUGGAAUGUUGAGACAAGGACUACUCAUCAAGAGGCAAUACCAUCACUCUCUUUGGCCACACCCAAUUCAGCAUAAAAAAGGAGAACAGAUUCCACACAGGCAUAAACAAUCCACCCCUAUUAUCCACUUCAAGAAAACCAAUAUAUUACCUGCAUAUUUGUUUGAAGUUAAAUCCACAACCGAAUCAUCUUCCUCGCCUGUGCUGAAUGAUAUGCUUUCACUCUUACUCAUGUUCUCUAGAUGGGGGAAGUGAAGUCUAAUUGUGUAAUCUGCUAAAGUACGCACAAUCUCAAGGUCCUCUUUACCCCUAAAGGCAUGUAGUUGGUAAGAGCCAAAGCGAAGAAAGGAUUCAGCAACUCUGCAGACAAUGGCACCAGGCUCAUCCUUUGGAUUCCCGCUGCAUGAAUAUGAAUAUAGUCAUGCAUAGAAAGAACAAAAAACAGACUUGAAUGGAUAAAAAAACAGCUUAAUCCUAUAACAUGGCUCCCUAUACAUACUCCAAGUAUACAAUGAAGAUACUUUAUAGGUGGAUAGGUGGUUUUCCACCAAUUUUAGCGAAUAGAUUGCAAGUAACCUUGCUGAUUAAAUGUCACAAAAACUAUAAAAGAGUAACAUACUCAUAAAACAUGUCCCUGCUGACAUCUUUUCCCGUCAUUACAAGACAGAGUGCUCUUGUAGUUGGGAUUCCAAGACUAUGCAUUGCUUCGCUGCAGAGGAACUCCCGGAUACUACUCCGAAGAACUGCAAGACCAUCAGCAAAACGGCUAUAUGGGGUCUUCCCCGCACCCUUUAGCUGCAGCUCCCAUCUUUCAGACUUUGAAUUCAAAACCUCUCCAAGAGUUAUUGCUCGACCAUCACCUAGCUGACCAGCCCACAUCCCAAACUGAUGUCCUCCAUAGUUCUGGGCAUAAGGCACACUGCAGAAGCAAAUUCAACUUAACAUGCUGUCAGACUACUAAAAGUUUAAGCAGAUCCAAACUAGAGAAGUAACACUUACGCCCUGACUAAAGGUGAUGCCCCUGAGAACAGAAGUGGAAAAUCAGGCCUCUCAAAUCUGAAAGGUUAAAAGAACUCAGCGUCACUUCCAUCACAAUACAUUAGAAAGGACAAUCUUCAGCAAGCAUUAAAACCUCACUCUUUAGGAUCCAACUCAAGUAACUCAGCUACUGAUUCUGACCACACAACGAGCUGAGGAUUCUCUACCUCAACAGAAGGCAACAUUUUCGUAUAGCACGCAUGCAAUACCUACAUAAGUACAAUAAUUGACUCCAAUAAAUAACUUGCAACAUAAUUCUACACCUCAAGGCAACAAUAUCAACGUCAUCUCAUCAUCUUCAAAGUCAAAGGGAACUGCAGCCCUUACUAAAUAUGUAAAACCAGGAUUUCAAUUUUCUUGCUAUGCAGACACUACUAGCAGAAGAUUCACCUUUCUCAUUUAGCUAGGAGCAAUGAAACAAGUCUAUUUUUUUUCUUUUCUAGAAAGGUUGUAAACCAUUCCAAUAUUUCCAAAUGGGAAUUGAUUCACCGAACUUACCUAGUACCUGAAACGUGGAAUUGAAGAAAGGGAACCUCAACUAAAACUAAUUUUAAUCUAUCAAGAUAAUUGGUGGGAACACAACUUCUACACAUUAAAACUGAAAGGGACUGCAGCACUUAUUACAAAUACAACAUCAACAUUUCGACUUUUUUCCUUUGCGAUCAAAGAAAUUGUCUCAUAAACUAUCAGAAGAUAAAGUGAUGAACCCUUUCCACAAGUAAGAGCAUUAGAAGUCCCAACUUGAUUUGAUACGAACCAGGGAUACCCACACCCAAAAUCUAGCUGUUAAGGUGGGAGAGCCCAAAGCUGUAUAAGCUACACAUCAGCUCCCCAUCUAACCGAUAUGGGACUCAAGUCCCAUACCUUGCAAUAGGAUCAUAACAAACCACCACGCUCCGCAUCCAUUGUCCUCGACAACUCCACACUAGGUAGCUUUCACUCUACCACAACUCCGGCAGGCACGAAGGGUGGUGGGUGGCUUUGAUACCAUUGAUACUACCCAGGGAGAACCACACCCCAAAAGCUAGCUAUUAAGGUGGGAGAGGCUAAGGCUAUAUAAGAUCCACAUCAGCCCCCAUUUAACCCAUGUGAGACUCAAGUCCUAUACCUUACAAUAGGAUCAUAACACAGACUCAAAAUCAGUGAAGAAUUCAUGAAAUUCCAACUAUUGAAUUCACAACAACCAAUUCGAUAAAGAUCACAAAUUUAAUAAAAAUCCAAUUUUAAUUCAACAGAAAAAAUACAUCUGUUCUUCGAUCAGUAGGCAGAUCACAAACAAAAGUAUGAUGGUAGGAAAGUAUGAAUAAUAAUACUGAUAAGGGAACUAGACAACGCUCGACCUUCUACCAUAAACCUCGACCUCCAUAUCUAGUUCUCGGUAAGCUACACGAGUAUCAUUCAUGUCUAAUCACCUCUUCCCAAGACUUCUCUAGCCUACCACCCUUCGGGGUGGCCCAGUGGUUUGAGCUUGGGACUUCCAUGUUGGAGGUCUCAAGUUCGAAACCCCUUGCCAACGAAAGCAAGGGGUUUGCCUUCUGGGUCGAGCUCGUCGCACCAGGCUUGGCUAGUGCGGUUUACCUCUCCUAUGUGGUUUGCGAGCUAUUGCAUAGGAGCGGGGGUUUUACCCUGUGCGCACCCAAAGGGUAGCAACUGCGGGNNNNNNNNNNNNNNNNNNNNNNNNNNNNNNNNNNNNNNNNNNNNNNNNNNNNNNNNNNNNNNNNNNNNNNNNNNNNNNNNNNNNNNNNNNNNNNNNNNNNNNNNNNNNNNNNNNNNNNNNNNNNNNNNNNNNNNNNNNNNNNNNNNNNNNNNNNNNNNNNNNNNNNNNNNNNNNNNNNNNNNNNNNNNNNNNNNNNNNNNNNNNNNNNNNNNNNNNNNNNNNNNNNNNNNNNNNNNNNNNNNNNNNNNNNNNNNNNNNNNNNNNNNNNNNNNNNNNNNNNNNNNNNNNNNNNNNNNNNNNNNNNNNNNNNNNNNNNNNNNNNNNNNNNNNNNNNNNNNNNNNNNNNNNNNNNNNNNNNNNNNNNNNNNNNNNNNNNNNNNNNNNNNNNNNNNNNNNNNNNNNNNNNNNNNNNGCUGCGGGUUUCCCUUGUCAUAAAAAAAAAAGACUUCUCUAGCCUACCUCUACCUCUCCUCAUACCCACUCUAGCCAACCUCUCACACCUCGGACAUUUUUGCAUCUUCUCCUCAUACGCCCAAAGCAUCUCACCCUCGCAUCCCUCAUCUUGCCCACCACAGAGGCCACUCCUACCUCACCCCAACUUGAAAUCACACUCCUCGAAAUCAGUGUACAAUUCAUGAAAUUCCAACUAUUCAAUUUACAACAGCAAUCCAAUAAAGAUCAUAAAUUCAACCAAAACUCAAUCUCAAUACAACACAAAAAAAUACAAAUACUAACAAGAAACAGAAAAGGGGAAUAAAAAAAAACCUCUCUUGGAAUGGUAUCUGUUCUUGGAUCAGCAGGAAGUUCACGAACAAAAGAAUGAUCCCAAUUGAGCUCUUCAAGUUUCAACAUACGUUUACUGUUACUUCCAUCAUUUCCCAAACUCUGCUUCUUCAAUUUGUCAGCAACUGAAUCAACCGUCACAGCAGCUGAUUCCAUUGACGGUGAGGAAGAAAACAACGCACGGCGGCGAUUGGGCUGAAUUAGGUAUGAAAAGGGGUUCUUCAGGUGAUGAAAAAAAUUGGGUCGAAGAGAUUUGGAGAAGAGAAGAGCGGUAGAUGAAGAAGAAGAAGUAUGAGAGAGUGAAACUGAUAUUCUGGAAAGUAUUUGCAUACUUGUUUGUAUGUUUUAAAUUUAAUGGGGACUGAAAUGAAAUAGUACUAAAGUAUGUUUUAUUAUUUUGAGAAAAUUGAAACUUUGGUCUCUCAACUAUGUUAAAAAUACACUUUGUCCCUAUUUAAGUUUUAAAUUGAAGUAUUUAUUUGUUCUGAAUAGAUUUUAAUUAUUAAGAUAUUGAAUAAAGUCUUAAUAUAUUUUUGUGAAUAAUUUUCGACUUUUCGUCGACACUUUGUGCAUAACUGCCAACUAUCACUACUAACCACCUUUGUAAUUACAGUUGUUGUCAACCAUGACCACCAUCGUCAACUAUCCGCCACCAUACCAAUCAUUUAUGCCAUCACAAUUACCAUAGAUGGCAAUAACUAUUGUAAGUAGCUAUCAUAUUUACCUCCUCCAUCAUUAUAAUUAUAUUCAUUGUCGCGAUCAUCACCACCAUCAUUAUCAAUCACUAGCGAUACUACGGUCAAUUCCUACUAUCAACUAUCUCCACAAUCGCAAUUAGCACCAUUGUCAGCUACCACAAAUAGCAUCGUUUAUCUCUACACAUCCUUUGAUCACCAUCAACACUGUCAACCACUAACAUCAACCAACUCCAUUGUUAUAAACCACAUCUAUCAUCACAACUACCAGCAUCAACCUCACCAACAAUCAACCACCUUUGUUAUCACAAUCAUCAUAUUACCAUCACUACCAAUCACACAACUAUUACCUCUAUUAUUAAAAUUAAAUAUAUUGUCAUUGUUGUCACCUUCGUCAUCACCAUCAGUCACUAUUCCUAUUAUGGUUAAUUUUUACUACAAAUCAUCUCCACCCCACAUUUUUCAGUUACCACUAUCAAUAUCGUCAGCUAUUAAUGUCAACCAACUCCACCAUUACAAUUAUCACCACUAAUCACUUAUGUCAUCACAAUCACCAUAAAAUCUAAAUUAAUCGUAUUGUUACCUCUUAAUUAUUAGGUUGUCCAAUUAAGGACUUCCUUUGUCUCUUUUGAACAAAUUACAUUGAUUUGAUUAGAAAAAUAUAAUCAAUCGGAAAUUUUAUCGCCGAUCCUAAAUUAUUCGAUAUUGAAGCUUGAAUCACAAAACAACUACUACAAGAAGGAAAGGUAUUGUGUCGUUGUGUGCUUAAUUUAUAUGACGAGGACCAAAAUUAGACAUAUUCUAUGUGUGAGGAGCCAAAAUUGCAAUUUACUCUUUUAUGUUUUCUUGGAAUUUACUAGUUUUUUUAGGGUCAUAGUAUUUAUUUAUUUUUAUAUAAUUUUCUUUUGGUGUUUGAGACUUUGACUUUUCAUUGUAGGUCAUUGUCCUACUUAUUUUGGGAUUAUGCGUUCAAUUUGUUGCUUAUUUUCUUUCUUUUUCUCUCAUUUCAUUGUCUUGUUUGACUUCUUGAUAAAAUUAUAACUAUACAAAGAAAAUUAACACAAUACAUGUAAGAGCAAUUUAUUGUCAAUCUCCAAAUCAUUAUCUAGUAUGGAUAAAUAUGUAUUGAUAUAUUAUCUUUAUGUCAAAUCAAUGAAUGAUAUAUACUUGAAAAUACUAAAAGUAUGCACCAUCUAGCAUAGUUGUCCUAUUAUUCAAUGUUGGUAAAUAAAUAAAGUAGAGUUUAGGAGGCCCCUCUAAUAAGAUAAGAAUUUGGAUAUGUUGCUAAAUGAUCUAGAUAUUACUGCUCUUAUGUGAACUUACUGAUCUCAAAUUCGAAUGAAAGAAAAGACUGUGAUAGACUAACAAGAAAGAAAUCACCUAGUGUUUUCACGCUUCCCUAAAAUCAAGAAUGGAAUCUUAGUAACUGCAAUGUUUUAUUUGUCUGAAUAUAUUGAUCCAUAUGAUGUUGAGCAAUAUACAACUUUAGAGCUAUGUUGUUCAGACUUAUCAAGAAUGUCAUCAACAUGCUCAUAUUGCUAAUCUCAAAUUCAAAUGAAAGAAAGGACUAUGAUAGACUAACGAGAAGAAAUCACUUAAUGUUUUUGCGCUUCCCUAAAAUCAAGAAUGGAAUCUUAGUAACUGCAAUGUUUUAUUUGUCUGAAUAUAUUGAUCCAUAUGAUGUUGAGCAAUAUACAACUUUAGAGCUAUGUUGUUCAGACUUAUCAAGAAUGUCAUCAACAUGCUCAUAUUGCUAAUCUCAAAUUCAAAUGAAAGAAAGGACUAUGAUAGACUAACGAGAAGAAAUCACUUAAUGUUUUUGCGCUUCCCUAAAAUCAAGAAUGGAAUCUUAGUAACUGCAAUGUUUUAUUUGUCUGAAUAUAUUGAUCCAUAUGAUGUUGAGCAAUAUACAACUUUAGAGCUAUGUUGUUUGGACUCUUUAAAGAAUGUCAUCUGAUGCGUGUUGGAUCCUUUAAAAGUAGUCUGACACGGGUGUGACAACAUUUUUGGAGAGUCUGAACAACAUAUCUACAGAGGACCUUAGCAAAUAGUUCCUAAAAACACAUUUGAGAAAGAUAAUCCUUUGAUUGCUGUCCAAGACCUGCUACUUCAAUUGAGCUUCAAGAUACUGCGAAGCCAGAGCUUGUGAAAUCAUUGACUGCUCGUCUCCACCGCGGUCCAGUUCCAACUAACAAGAGCAAGAAAUUCCGUUUUAGAGAUAUCAAAACACAGUCAAAUGUUAAAUUCUAUCUCGGAGAAGAAGAAAACGAGUAGUUUACAUGAAAACGAAGACAAAUGAAUCAGCAGGUGCACAAUGAACUAUUAUCUCAAUAUAGUGAAAUACCAAGGAUAUUUUGCAAAUAUCUUGUUAAAAAUAGCUUGUGGAAAUUCAUCGGUAUGUGUUUCGAGAUAAUAAGUUGAUAAGGAAAAUUCUCGUUAGAUGGUGUACAACAGAAUUGGUUAUGCAUAUCAAAGCAUGUUAAAAAUUUACCUGAUCGUUUUCGUUGGUGACGUUAGCUGAUAAACGACAAUCCUUUUCCUUUGCUUGACAGCAUUCGGUUCAAUGUUAAGGCCUCUAAGAACAAUGUCUUACAACCAUUUCUGAAGCCACGUACAACAGUGGCUCAGAAGUUAUCUGACCAAAGAACUCGUGAUGCACAAAAUUACAUUUUGGCUCAUUGCUAUUGCUAGUCUUUGAACUAUGAAGCUAUCGCGCCUUCUCCAACGAGGCAAGUAGGUUUCGGAGCUCUGAUGCUUUGUUAGUCAUUCCAUUUAUUGAAUAUGCUUUAAUCAUACUUCUGUAUGUUAUCUUAUCUGGCUUACAUCCACUUUGUUCCAUCAUCUCAAGCACCCCUUUCAACUCUGUGAAGCAUCCCAUCAUCCCAUAUGCAUCCACUAGGCAGUUAAAAAACACGGUGUCAAGUGCCACGUCAGAAUUCUCAAUAAACCGCAAAACAGCUCCAAGUUUUUCAGCUUUGCCAGCUUUCCCAUAAGCUCUUACAAGAGAACAAAGAGUAACACAGUUUGGUUUUAUCCUCUCAGACUGCAUCAGCCUAAAAAGAAAUUCCAUUUGCUUUAAAUCUCCAGCCCUUCCAAAUGCAUCUAUUACGAUAUUGUAAGUAACUAUGGUCCAUGAAAAAUAAUAUUUCUGCAUAAACUCCAUCACAGCACCCAUUUUCUCGUAAUUUUCUGUUUUCCCGUAUGAAUCUAAGAGUAUGUUGAAUGUCUUGAUACUAGGUUCAAUUCCAGCACUCUGAAACUUCUCAUAGCAUUUUUCCAUCAUUUCUAUUUGCCCGCUGCCACCAAAUGCUCUCAAUGUAGAGUUCAUGGUCCACACAUCGGGCUUACAGUCUCUUCGCCGCAGCAUUUCUACAAGUGUGGAUUCCAUCUCUUUGAACCUUUGGCAAUUAAAGAAAAGAAUCAAUCUCCCUAUCAUAGAAAACUAAUGCCAGGCACCUACCUCGAGAAAAUAGUAAUCAAAGGAUACAAAAACAUUUUCUCAGCAAAGAUGUCACAAAACCGAAGUUAGAUAUGAUUGUGCAGCUUAAGGUUUUCGAUCUGAUAAUCUACAUAAUGUGUUUCAAUUGUUUCAUCUCUCAUUUUGGAUUUCGUAAGUUGAUAGAGACUCAUUUCUAGUUGUGUUAUGAUUAGAACUUCCAAUGAAUAGAACCAUAACAAUGAAUAGCAAUCAAACCUUUUCGCUUUGCCAUAGGAAUCAAUAAGAGUAUUAUAUGUUACUGUAUUGGCCUUGAUCCCCAUGCAUUCCAUGUCGGAAAGCAGGAUUUGCACUUUGUCGAAGUCAUAAACCUGCAGGCAGGAUUUUAUCAGGAUGCUAUAUGUGAAGACAUCGGGGAGGCAGUUCGGAAUGUUCUUCAUCUCUUCCAGGAUAGAAAAAGCUUCAUGAAAGCGACCACUACGGCUAUAGGCGGACAAAAGAGCAGUGUAAGCUUCUUGAUUCACGACACAGCCUUCCUCCACCAUCAUCUCGAAUAAAGAUUGAGCUUUCUCAGGUUCCUUACAUUUUCCAAGCAUGACAAUUAAUUUGAUAUAAAUGCCUGGAUUGGGCCUGUACCACAACUGCUCCUGGAGGAGUUCAAAGACCUGAUGGAAAAAAAAAAUCACGAUAAUAAUGGAUAGAUUCUUGCGCGUCUCUACAGAAUUUAGCAACACCGGCAACCAUAAGCAAAUGUUUCUGAACUAUCAAAACUCCAACUUGAAUUCCAAAGUAAAGAAACAAAGAGCACAAAAAUAUAGUCUGUGCUUCAAAUUUGUUGUGCAAUAUGCAGUUAUUAUUGUACCUUUCUCAGUUCAGAUAAAAAAACCACACCAACUCCAACUUGGAUUCCAAAGUUAUGAAACAAAGGGGAAUUUGUUACACUUUACCUAUUUUAUUGUAUUGUAUUAUUAGUUCAGAUACUAUGUUUGUUUUGGUUGUUACUUAAAUUGUAUUGUAUCGUAUCGUAUCGUUUCGUUUAAAAUCCAUAGUUAGGUAACAACGGAAAGUUCCAUUUUAUGUAACGACUGAUUUGGUGUGAUUGCGUUGUUACCUUAAUAUAUUCUUCUCAUUUUAUCUUUACUUAUUAUUUGAUUAUCUUAUUUCAUCCUUUAUCGUACAUUUUCGACCUAGUUCUACCUCGUACUCUACUUUUCUCGUAGAUUUAUCAAUUAAAUUGUUGAAGUGUGACAUUACGUAAUGACGGAAAACAAUACUAUCUAUCCAAACAUUGUAUUCAAUAAAACAAUACAAUACAACACAAUACAUUAUGAAACAAUAGGUAAUAACCAUCCAAACAAUACGUGGCGUAGUUGGUUGGCUACCUUAACUUUCACGAGAGUUCGAUUCCCCUCCCCCAUUUCCCCUUCCCCACAAAAAAAAAGUUAGUAACAAAAAUAUGAAAGCUCAAUGUGGUGUUCAAUAUGCAGUUACAAUGGUGCAGACAAAAAAUUGCACUAUGACUAUCAAUUCCCAGAAAAAUUCCAACUUGGAUUCCAAAAUUAAGAAACAAAGAGCACAAAAACUGAACAUGUGCUUCAAAUGUGAUGUACAAUAUGCAGUUACAAUAGUACCUACCUCAUUCCAAGUUCCAAAAUUAAGAACCAAAAAGAGUGAAAAAACUCAAAAUCCCCAGUUGGGUUCCAAAAUUAACAACCAAAAGAGUGAAAAAACUCAAAAUCCCCAGUUGGGUUCCAAAAUUAACAACCAAAAGAGUGAAAAAACUCAAAAUCCCCAGUUGGGUUCCAAAAUUAACAACCAAAAGAGUGAAAAAACUCAAAAUCCCCAGUUGGGUUCCAAAAUUAACAACCAAAAGAGUGAAAAAACUCAAAAUCCCCAGUUGGGUUCCAAAAUUAACAACCAAAAGAGUGAAAAAACUCAAAAUCCCCAGUUGGGUUCCAAAAUUAACAACCAAAAGAGUGAAAAAACUCAAAAUCCCCAGUUGGGUUCCAAAAUUAACAACCAAAAGAGUGAAAAAACUCAAAAUCCCCAGUUGGGUUCCAAAAUUAACAACCAAAAGAGUGAAAAAACUCAAAAUCCCCAGUUGGGUUCCAAAAUUAACAACCAAAAGAGUGAAAAAACUCAAAAUCCCCAGUUGGGUUCCAAAAUUAACAACCAAAAAGAGUGAAAAAACUCAAAAUCCCCAGUUGGGUUCCAAAAUUAACAACCAAAAAGAGUGAAAAAACUCAAAAUCCCCAGUUGGGUUCCAAAAUUAACAACCAAAAAGAGUGAAAAAACUCAAAAUCCCCAUUUGGGGUUCCAAAAUUAACAAUGAAAAACACGCACCUUAAGAGCAGAUUCCCAACGCAAAGCAGUAAUACGUUCAUGAAGAGCUUCAAGAACAGUACGAGGCAAUAGUUUCUUCGAAUUCCCUUUCUUCUUCUUAUACUCAAUCACUGCUUUAGCAGCUUCUCUUCGAAGAAUAAUCGAUACAGCUUUCUGUGAAGCUAUCUUUUUGUUCGUUUCCUCUUUCCUUUCCUUUGCUUCCUUCACCUUCAGCUUCUCAACCUCCAUUGAAGAGGAAUCCGGUUUGGAUCUGGGUACGCUAACUUUCCGGUAUGUUAACGGGUCAUUCCGGCAGGUUAACGGGUCGGUUCUUGGUGGUCCGAAUGAUGAUGGAGGAAUUGGAUUAGAGGGUCCGAAGAAGGAAGCCAUGGCUGAAAAUAAGAGGCCGAUUUUUUUUUCUUCAUAUCAUUAGUCACUAAAAAGAUAUUAUAAUUGUGUGGGUUGGGUCGGCUCGGGUCAAAUUAGGAUGGGAUGAGACUAGACGGGACGAGUUGAUGAGACUUUUAUUUUGUUUACGUGGUUAGAAUGAGUUAGAGUUUUUACGGAUUUAUGUGAAUUUGUUCCGUAAUUGUAUCAUUCCUUAAUAUUAAUUGUCGAAUUUUAGGCUAAAUUCAUCCCUCAAAUAUAACUUAAACUUAGGUACAUCAUUAUAAUAUAAUUGUGAACGAAAAACAUUUUUUAAUUAUUUCAAAACUUGCAUAAACAUCCUUUCUGUUAACUACUGUUAAAAAACUGACAAAAACAAUUACAGACUUCCCUCAAAUCCUCAUAAUGAUGAGGUAUACAUUGAUAGUUUCUUAAAUUUACAAAUAAAUUUUAUUUGGACAUUCAAAUUACUAUAACAUAUUUCAACAUAAGACAUAGUAAAAUAUAUAGGUAUAAGGCACAAGCAUUCCCUACACUAUGACCGAAAUCUCACAGACACACCUUAACUAAACUAAGGUCCUAUUACCCCUAAAUCCAUUUUUUUUUGUAAUUUUAUACACCUUUUUAGUUUAUGUGGCUUUCAAACAUCUCCCACGCACCUCAACUGUGUGGAGUCACAGAAUGCGUCACGUUAGCCAAAAAGUGUAUAAAAUUACAAAACAAAUGAGUUCAGGGGUAAUAUGACCUUAAUUUAGUUAAUGUGUGUCUCUGGAAUUUCGAUCAUAGCGUAGGGGGCACUUGUUUCUUUUCCCAAAUAUAUAUAUUAAGCAUCUUUAGUUCAAAUUUUGAAUUUUCUUUUAGCGUGUAUUUUCAAAUAUUCAUUAUGUAGAUAAAUCAACUAUUUAAAAUAACUCAUAUUUUUUAACUGUACGAGUUAGUCUUAAUAAGCCUUUAGUAACUCAGGAUCUAAUUUCAAUUGAAGAUGAUGUAUAAUUAAAAGAGAUGAUAUAUUUAAUGUGAUUAAUUUAUCUGACACACUUAAACUACACUUUUUUUUUUCAAAAUUCGAACAAAAACUAUAGAAUAUAAAUAUUUUAUUAUAUAUUCAAUCACUCAAUUACAAUAAAUAUCUAAAUAAAAUUUGUUGGACAUGUCAUGUCAUGUAUCAAGCCUAUAGUUUUUUCAUACUUAAAGUCAUUUUUUUUGUUUUUUCACUCAGUAUUUCAAAUCCACAUUAAAAUCGUAAUUAAAUCUAAAUAACACACUAUAAUAUUUAUUGUGAUGUUCCUAAUAAAAUUUUCUCUUAACAAUAAACUCAAAUUCAAACCUUUUCAUUCAAAGUAAAACAGUCUCAUUACUACAUCACUAUCCGUCAGUUACUUUCAAAUAGAACUUGAGUGGCAUCUAUUGAAAAAAAAAUGGCACUAAACUCAAGACAAAAAGCCAAUCUUUAUCUAAACAAGAAACCAUUUUAGUAAUGCCCACAGUAUUGAUUUUUACAAUCUGAAUAUUUUCUUCUUAUCCACAUUCAAUAAUAUUCACAAAAAAACUAUACAAAUUCACCCAAAAAUUGAAAUCAACAAAAAAAAAUCAAUUUUUGAAAACCCCCUUUAGAUAGAAGAGCAAAAUCAAAUCUUGAUUUGCCCCUUUUUGUGUUGUUGUUUAGAUAGAAGAGAAAAAAAUCAAAUCUUGAAAACCCCUUUUUGUUCUAAUGGGUAAAGGGGGAAGUGAUGAAAACAUGGCUGCUUGGCUUCUUGGUGUUAACACCCUCAAGAUUCAGCCUUUCAAUCUCCCUGCUUUGGGUAUUUUUUUUAAUCUACUCUUUCUUGAACUUAUAUUUGUUGUAAUUGUGAAUUUUAUCGUAAGGUCUAUGUAUACUCUAUCCUUGUUAGACCCCGCUGUGUGGAAUUAUAUUGAGUAUGUUAUUGUUGUUGUAAUUAUGAAUUUUGUUUGAAAGAUUUGACCUUGGGAGCUUAGGGUUGACUUUUUAGUUCACUUUGAUUAGAUGUUUUGGUCAGAUUGGGCGAGUUGAGUUAUGACCCGUAUUAUUUAAUGGGUCAAACCCCAUUUUGAUGAGAUGAAGUUUGUAAGUUUCUAUAACGAUCUCAAGUUAAUAUAUAGUAAUAACUGGUUCCUAGUCGAAUAUUGAGUUUCAAUAUGUCUUUAGUAUAGCUGUCUUGUUUGAUAAUUUGACCAAAUAUAGCUCCUAUAGUAUGCUUUUAUAGUAGUGUUAUCAAAAGCAAAAAGCACAGAAAGACAAGGUUUGUUGGGGGCUUUAAGUGCAAAGCGCAAAUAAAGUGUGAGCUUUAAUGAAAAAGGCGCAAAGGGAGAAAAAAAAUGCAAAUAUAUAUAUUUAGUCUAAGGCUAAUAAUUAUAAGAUGACAAAUAUACGAACAAAGAAAUUGAAUAAACUUUAUGAUAAAGUAAAAUAUCAAUUAUGUACCUUCGACUCUUUAGUAGACGAUCUCUUGAAAACAAAAGGUAUGUCUUAGAAUCUUGAUGACGAUACUGAAGUGCUCAACAUGUUUUACGUGCUGAAUUCUGCCUGCAUUUUGACAUGUUUUACGUGCUGAAUUGAGCCCAGUAAGCUUGAACACAAAGAUUACCUAUUUUACGUGCUGAAUUCUGCCUGCAUUUUGACAAUAUUACAAGUUGAAUUCUGCCUGAUGAUGAUAUUGUUGCCACUAGUUUAUCAAUCAGUGGGACCCUGAUAUGUAAAUGGGAGUAAACCAGUGUAUCUUCUUCUCUUUCCUCUGCAUUGUUUUUAAAUUAAAACAUUGUCGUCUGAUUUGCUUUGGUCUUUGUGUCUGAACGUUGCUAGAGUUUGAGGUACUGCUAUUCCGGCAAAGGUAUUCCAUUCUAUCAUGUGAGGAAUUAAUCUAUACCUCGGGUAAUGUGAGGAGAUUAAAUUCUUUAAAGACACCUAGUGAAUUCUGCGGGAUCAGAAUAAACUUUGGUUUAAAUGUUACUGGUUUUGUUUCUGUUUAAGCAUUACUGUUUACAUAUGGAUUCUGGUUUUAAUUAUUCUGGAUAAGAACACAGGGACUAACAUUUGUUACUUCAUAGGACCCCAUGAUGUUAGAGUUAGGAUGAAGGCUGUCGGUAUUUGUGGAAGUGAUGUUCAUUACCUCAAGGUAAAAGCUUUCUUCUGAUUCUCUAUUUUGAUAGCUUGUCUUCAUGGUCAAUAAUUCUUGUUGGGAUUUAGGGUUGGUGGGUGUGGUGUGGUUUAUAUUAUGGUUAUGUUUGCAUUGACUCUACAAUGAUGGCAUAUGAUUGUGGUGUAUACCUAGCAAAACGUGUAAAAGGAAUGAAGAAACUAGCUUGAUGGGACUUCCAUUGUUCAAAUGUAAAAAAAUAUGUUAUAUGGAUCCGAACACUAUUUUGCUUCUGGUAUUGGUAUGAUCACCAUCAAUCUUUUUUAGAAUGUUUUUAUUGGGUUUUGAAAGGUUAAUGUGAAAUGUCCAUACCUAUAUCAUCAUAUACAUGUUUGCUAUGUUGCUCGGACUCUCCAAAAAUGUUGUUGCACUCGUGUUGGUUUUUUUGGGGGAUACGACAUGAAUCCAACCACAUUUAUGAGUAGUCCCAGUAACUUAGCUGUUUGCAAAGCAAAAUGAAGUGUAUUGUAACAUGGUGAAGUUCUGUUACAUUUUCUUGGGCUACAUCGUACAUUGAUUCUAGUCAAACAAAAAUGUAUCUUGGAGCCUUGAAGCGUUGUUGAGGACAAUGCCAAUGCUCAUACUCUGGGUGGUUUGGUUAGAGAGAAACUACAGAUGUUUUGAGAGCAAAGCAACCACAAAUUUGUGUCUGAAAUUUGAUGUGUGUUCAUUUAUUGAAUUUUUGGUGUAAUUUGGAGUACGUAAUGAACUAGAGUCUAUUUUGAACUUCAGACCAUGAGGUGUGCGGAUUUUGUGGUUAAAGAGCCAAUGGUGAUUGGGCAUGAAUGUGCUGGGAUCAUAGAGGAAGUUGGCGGUGAAGUCAAGACAUUGGUUCCUGGAGAUCGUGUAGCGCUAGAGCCAGGAAUUAGUUGCUGGAGAUGUGAUCUUUGCAAAGAAGGGCGAUAUAAUCUCUGCCCCGAGAUGAAGUUCUUCGCUACUCCCCCUGUUCAUGGUUCUCUCGCAAAUCAGGUAAAAAGCUUACCCACUUCUAUUAAUUUUCUCACGAUUUGACAUUUUGUCUACAUUGAUUUCAUGUAGUCACUCGUGGCAUAUGCCAUGCGACAUGCAUCCUUCGCUGGUUAAUUAAGAUGGAAUAUAUGUCAGUAGUUUUAAAAUCUUGUACCUUUUGGACUUUCGUCGAUUGCAUGAAUGAUAGAAUUGAUAUUGAGCUGGUUUGUCCCUCCGAAUAUACUCGUUAGUGUACUCGAAUUUUCCAUAGGCUUAUUGAACAAGGUCACACAAAAUUACGAACAGAGGCAUUGUGCAGCAUGCAGGGCUUAUCGAGUGAUAAUAAUUUUUGACCUUGCUAAAAGCUAAAACACUGGUGUCUUUUCGAUCACCAACAGGUAGUCCAUCCUGCUGAUCUAUGUUUCAAGCUCCCGGAUAAUAUAAGUUUAGAGGAGGGAGCAAUGUGUGAGCCACUUAGUGUUGGUGUUCAUGCUUGUCGGCGUGCAAAUGUUGGUCCUGAGACAAACAUUUUAGUGCUGGGAGCUGGACCAAUCGGGCUUGUCACACUUCUCGCUGCUCGUGCUUUUGGUGCCCCAAGAAUUGUUAUUGUGGACGUAGAUGACUAUCGUCUUUCAGUUGCAAAGAAGUUAGGAGCAGAUGAGAUCGUCAAGGUUUCAAUCAAUCUUCAGGUGAGGAUCCAAAUUUCAAAGUUAUCGCUGUUAAUCUCCCAUGUUUCAUGUGCACUCUCGAGACUGAAUACAUGAGUUGCUUUCAUGUAUGAUCACUAACUUUGUCCGUUGUAACAAUAAAGUCACAAAACUAUUUUGUCUCAUUAAAAUAACUUAAUCAACUGAACUUUACCGACUAUAACACUAAUAUAAUUAGUGACUUAACCAUUAUAGCGGUAAAUUUCUGUGACAAGAUAGUAUCGUGACUUUAAUAUUAUAGUGAGUAAAGUUCAGUGACCAUUACGUGAAAUUCGCCCGUGAAUAUAAAAACAUCAAAGUUGAAGAUGUUGCCGGUUUUCUUUCCAUUUCCCUGACUGAUACUUUUGAACAGGAUGUAGCUACAGAUAUAGAAAACAUUCAGAAAGCGAUGGGAGGUGGAAUUGAUGUGAGUUUUGACUGUGCUGGCUUUAACAAAACUAUGUCGACCGCCCUUGGUGCAACUCGUCCAGGUGGCAAAGUUUGCUUGGUGGGAAUGGGACAUCAUGAGAUGACCGUUCCUCUCACUCCAGCUGCUGCAAGGUACAACUAUGCAUCAAUCUUACUUGAGUUGAAUUUGGCUAUAUGAAUCCUCACAGAUCAUCUCGCUUUGUUUGAGUUCGUCGUAUACCAAAUAGUAUACGAAAUAAAAAAUAAGUAGUACUAGAAGUCCUUUAUGUUUUUUUACUGGCAUAUAAAUCUCAAACAAGACUAAUAGACUACUAAAAAUCAUAGGAUCUAAAGUUAACAUACUAGCAUGAUUAUAAAAUAUAUUCCCAACUAAUUGGUAUUGCUUAUACCUAUGAUACUCGGACUCUUCAAAAAUGUCACCAAGUGUGUAUCAGAUCCUCCAUAAUAGUGCAUUUUUAAGGAUCCGGCACGAAUGCGACUAUUUUGGUGAGAGUCUGAGUAACAAAGGCUUAUAUAGAUCUUUUCCUGACUAAAUCUGUUGUUACUCUUCACUAACAAUAAGCUUACAGUUUGCAUGUUUCUGUAUCCUUUUUGCCAUUAUAUUAAUUUUCGGGCAAAUUGUGCUCAGGGAGGCGGAGGCCAAUGUCACUGGCUUAUAUCUUUACUUAGAAUGCAUGGCCUUGUAUAUCUCGAGUUCUUGAGAAGUGGAAAGUUAGAUACGAAACCUUCUAAGUUAGAGUCGACUAUCUGAAUCCUCAUUGAUCAUGUCUCUCUAUUUUAGUUCGUCGUAGAUCGAAAUUAUACAGAAUAGCAAAAAUAAUAAUAACAGAAAGCACUAGAAAUUCUCUAUAUUUUCUAGUUGGUAUUGCUCAUAUUGAUCGUUUUUCGAGACGGAGUCUGGGCUCUAUCGGAAACAACCUUACUACUCUACAAAGGUAGUGGUAAGCCCAGCGUACACCCUACCCUCUCCAGACUCCACUUAUGGGAGUAUACUGAGUAUGUUGUUGUUGUUGAUUGUUUUCCCGAUUAAACUUUUGUUACUCUCACACUAAUUUUCUGGGCAAAAUGUGUUCAGGGAGGUCGACAUCAUCGGCAUAUUUCGCUACAAGAAUACAUGGCCAUUGUGUCUUGAGUUCUUAAGAAGUGGAAAGAUUGAUGUGAAACCUAUGAUCACACACAGGUUUGGAUUCUCUCAAAAAGAAGUUGAAGAAGCUUUUGAAACAAGUGCUCGUGGUGGUGAUGCUAUUAAAGUCAUGUUUAAUCUGUAAAAAUAAACUUUUUAAAUUUGAGAAAAUAAGUUUUUACCAAAUGUCUAAAAAAUGUACAUCAUAAAAAGAUGUUUUAUGCUUUUGAAAACUACUAUGUAUUAGUUGAAAAUGUUGAGAAUGGUCAAAUAAAGUAGAUGGUUAACUUAUUUACGUAAUGAACAUUUGAGAACAUGUGCGUUUUUUUUUUCUACCAUGGAAAUAUCAAGUUAUUAGUGUUUAAACAUUUUUUUUCUUUUUUUGGGGUUCAACUUCGAAUAUAUUUGGGCAUAAACUUACGAAAAUUUCUUCUUUCACUUUAAUAUUUUUUUUACCAGAAUUUCUAAAACAACAGAAAAUUGUUUUUUUUUUUUUUUUUAAAAUUCAAAAUGACAAAAAGUUGUUUUCAAUCCAAAUUACUCAUAAAAAUUUAAAAACAACUCUAAUUUAUUUCAUGACCAAACACAAUUAGGCAUUUGUCCAUGUUUCAUUAGGAAAAUAGAAAAAAACAUAAUAUAUAAAUAUGUCUUUUAACUUGGCUUUAUUUCACAUUUAUGCCCUUCAACUUUAGGAUACACAAGUACACACUUAAAUUCGUAUAAAGUUGAACAAAUAGGCACACACGUCCUACGUGACAUCAUACAUGGUAAUUUGUGUCCUACAUGGUAUCCUAAGUGUAUUAUACCACAGAAGACUCAUGUGUCUACUUGUUUAAUCUUAUACAAGUUUAAGUGUAUGUUUGUGCUCAUUAAAAGUUGAAGGGCAUAAAUGUGAAAUGAGACCAAAUUAAAGGACAUAUUUAUGUAUUAAAAUUAUUUUUGUUUUCAAAGUAAAAAUAGUAAUUUCAAAAUCAAAGUCAACAUCUACUUUUUCGACUUAAGUUAAUAAAGUAAUUUAAAUUUAAUAAAAAUAAACACUUUUAGUUAAUCUCCUUUCUCACUUUGAAAACAAAAAUAAUUUUUUUUCCACUUUACCAAGGAGCAUGGUCAAAACGCCUACACACCGUUCAAUUUUACAUUAUUGAUUUGUUGACUCUAGCUAAUUGACACACUAACUUUCGAAUGAUCAAGUCAUAAUGAUCAGAUUAAAAAUUGAUGCUUUUUUGGCCGUGUGAAACGCUUGACAUGAAAGGAGGGCUAUCCAAAAAGUUUUUUUUUCUUCUGAAACCGCAUCACAGAGGAGUAGAGCCGCCGCGACACUUCCUUACUAGAUCUGACUUUCCUCUUUUUUUUCUCCUCCAUCGGAACCUAAAAAAAGAAUCUCUUUAACUAAGAAUGCUCAUUUUUGUCAAACUUAAAGGACUAAACUAAUAAAAAAUAUAGCUAAGGGUCUACUUUAAACCAACACCUAAAUAUAAGGGACCAUUUUUUUUAUUUAAUAGAAGUUGACUCUGAAGUUUUCAUAUAUAGUUCAUCCUAAAACUCACACCACAAAUUAACAAAACACAAAUUAAUUUUAUGUUCUUGAUUUGUUCAAACAAAUCAUAUUUUCUCUUGCAAUGUCUGAUUAUAUUUCUUUUUUUCUUGUAAUAUUUCUUCUUUUUUUCUUUCCAUCACACAAUUUAGCUCAAAAUGAUGGUAGAAUAUCUACUAGUAGUUCUAUUAGUGCAACAAAUGAAAGUACCCCAUGGCUUUCACCAUCUGGUGAUUUUGCAUUUGGUUUCAAAAAAAUUGAAGAAAAUAAAAAUGAGUUCUUGCUUUGUAUAUGGUACGCAAAAAUUCAAGAAAAAACUAUAGUUUGGUAUGCUAAUAUAAGUGAUUUAGUGCCACAAGGAUCAAGAUUGAAUCUUGAUUCUCAAAGUGGUUUAAUACUUAGUGAUCCUCAAGGGAAUACUCUUUGGACAAGUGAUUUGGUUUUCAUUGGUAAUAUUGAUUAUGGAUUGAUGAAUGAUAAUGGGAAUUUUGUUGUAAUGGGAAGUGAUUCUAGUGAUCCAUUAUGGGAAAGUUUUAGAAAUCCAACUAAUACUUUGUUGCCAAAUCAAACAUUGGAAAGAGGAAGCUUCCUUGUUUCUCAAAAGUCGCAAAAUAAGUUCACUCAAGGUACGUACGCGUUCAACUGUGUGACCAACUCAUCUGAUUGUUUUGUUAUGUUAUGUUUCUAACAUGAUAUAUGUAUUCUCUUCUUUUAUUUUUGCGUUGUGGAAGCCGUUUUGUUGUUGGAAUCAUUUUUUUGAAGUAGAUUAUGAGGAUUCAUGAAUAAUUGACUAGUUCUAGUCAUGGUAGUGCAUUUUUUCUUUAGGUCCUGGCUUUCUAGGACGGACACACAAUUGCCAUGUAGGACGUCACAUAUGACGGAUGUGUCUAUUUGUUUAAUUUGAUACGAGUUUAGUGUCGACUUGUGCACAGUCAAAGUUAGAGGCUAUAGAUGUCCGUUGAAGUCGAGUUAAAUGACAUGUUUAUGUGUUAUGCCUAUAUAUGGAGAAACAAACUAAGAUCACUCAAGGUACGUACGCGUUGAGUUGUGUGACCAACUCAUUUGAUUGUUCGAUUAGGUUAUGUUUCACUCAAGGUAUGCGUUGAAUUGCGUAACCAACUCAUAUGAUUGUUUGAUCAUGUUAUGUCUCUAACAUGAUAUAUGAAUUCUUUUUUCUUUUUUUGGAGUUGUGGAAGCCGUUUUGUUGUUGGAAUCCUUUUUUUAAAGAAGAAGAAGAAGUUAAUGGUUGAGGAAGAAAUAAUAGUAGAUUAUGAGGAUUUAUCAAUAAUUGACUAGCUCUAGUCAUGGAAGUGCAUUUUUCGUUAGGUCCUAUGCUUUCUAGGAUGUCACGUAGGACACACAAUUGCCAUGCAAGACACCAGGUAGGACGAAUGUGUCUAUUUGUUCAAUUUUAUACGAGUUUAAGUGUUGACUUGUGCACACUCAAAGUUAGAGGGAAUAGAUGUCAGUUGAAGUUGAGUGAAAUGACCAGUUUAUGUGUUAUGCCUCUAUAUGGAGAAACAUGGUUAGUUAAGAUUCAUACAGCUGACUUCGAAUUGUUUGGAAUUGAAGCGUAGUUGUUAUUGUUAUGUCUUAACACAUAGAUGUCAACUGUUAGAGCUGAGAUUAUGAUUUAAUUAUAUUAUGUCUCGACAGGUAGAUUUUAUCUUCGGAUGCUUGAUAAUGGAAAUUUGGUGCUUGUUACACAAAGUGUGCCUUCGAAUAUGGAUUAUGAUGAUGAGUACUAUAACACUCAAACUUCUGAUCCAACAAAUGCAAUCAAUUCUGGGGAUAAGUUGGUGUUCGAAGAGAAUGGCAUGCUGUAUGUAUUGAAGCGAAACAAUGAAACACAAAUUCUUACUCCGCGAUCCAAUCAUUUAGGUUCGGACAAUUAUCAUCGUGUGACACUUAACUUUGAUGGAGUUCUUAGUCAUUAUUAUCAUUCAAGGAUUUUGAAUAGCAGUGGCUGGAAUAUUCUGUGGUCUCAACCGGAUAAUAUAUGCAUCAAAAUUGAUGGAGACAACGGACCUGGUUCUUGUGGUUACAACAAUGUAUGCAGUCUUGGUUCAAACAACAGACCAGUUUGUAACUGUCCUAAAGGAUAUUCGUUGGUUGAUCCGAACGAUGCUUAUGGUGACUGCAAACCAGAUUUUUCUAUAAGUUGUGAUGAAGUUGGGAGGGGUUCACCUGAUGAUUUAUACAGUUUUAUCACGAUUCGUAAUACUGAUUGGCCGAAAUCAGAUUUUCAGAAAAUUAGCCCUUCUACUGAACAAGACUGCCAAAAUGCUUGUUUGAAUGAUUGCUUUUGUGCUGUUGCCAUUUAUAGAAGCAAUAGUUGCUGGAAAAAGAAACUGCCCUUGUCGAACGGGAGAAUAGACACCAGUUUGAACGCCAAAGCUUUUAUCAAAUUGAGAAAAGAUGGUGUUCUAAGGCCUCUAAGUCCUCCAAGUCCUGGCUUUCCAAUUCCGGAAUCUCAUCAAAAGCAGAGUUGGCGGAUUUUGGCAAUUUUGGCGUCCUCGCUCUUAGGUAGCUCCAUUAUGGUAAAUGUUCUUCUCAUUGGUGUAUUAUGUUGGGGAUUCUUCCACAUUUAUAAAAAGAAAGUGAACGUAUUUUGCCCUACAAGUCACGUGACGGACACUGUCUGUCAUAGUUUUACGUAUAAAGAUCUUGUAGUAGCCACGAAAGAGUUCAACGAAGAGCUAGGCAGGGGUGCAUUUGGGAUUGUUUACAAAGGUGUAAUGUCUAUCGGUUCAAGAAACGUAGUCGCUAUAAAGAAGCUGGAUAGAGUCGCUCAUGAGGCAGAGAAAGAUUUCAUGACUGAAGUAAAUGUGAUUAGUCAGACUCAUCACAAGAAUUUGGUCCGCCUGAUUGGAUAUUGUAACGAGGGACCUCAUCGUUUGUUGGUUUACGAGUAUAUGAGUAAUGGCACUCUUGCAAGUUUCAUUUUUGGUGAUCUGAAACCUACUUGGAGUCAGAGGACAAGUAUCGCGAUGGGGAUUGCAAGGGGACUUGCAUACCUCCACGAAGAGUGCAGUACACAGAUUAUCCAUUGUGACAUAAAGCCUCAGAACAUUCUCCUUGAUGACUAUCACGUUGCUCGAAUAUCAGAUUUUGGAGUGUCUAAGCUGUUGAUGAUCAAUCAGAGUCGAACGGAUACUAAUAUUAGAGGAACAAGAGGUUAUGUUGCUCCGGAGUGGUUCAGACAUAGUCCAGUCACGGUUAAGGUGGACGUUUACAGCUUUGGUAUACUACUACUAGAGAUCAUCACAUGCCGGAAAUGUUUGGAGAAUGAGGAAAGCUAUGGACUGGAGGCGAUUCUUGUGGAUUGGGUUGUUGAUUGUUUUCAACAAGGAAACUUGGAAGCUUUGGUGAGAAGUGAUAUCGAGGCCUUGAAUGACAAGAAGCAGCUCGAGAGGUUCGUGAUGGUUGGUAUUUGGUGCGUUCAGGAGGAUCCGUUAACGAGGCCUACUAUGAGGAAGGUCUGUCAAAUGCUUGAAGGAUCUGUUGAAGUGACAAUUCCACCAUGUUCAUGUAAUUUUAGCACAACUAUUUAACAUCAUAUGCCUCAUUUACGCGCGAUUUCCUCCUCUGUAUAGUACUUUUGAGUGGUCUAGUUGUAUUACUUUCUUUAAUGUUGAGUUCACUUUAAUAGUACUAAUGAUCUGUAUUGCUCAGACUCUUCAAAAAUGUCAUCGGGUGCAGCUCUUCACAUUUCCAUCUGCAUUUACUAGUGAUGAAAUUGUAAUUGAGACAUUAACAAACAGUUUUUGGGGCAUUUUGUUUUAAAUAACGAAGAAAUCUCCUGGGAACAGUCUCUCUACCAUCACAAGGUAGGGAUAAGCCUGCAUACACAUCACUUUUUCCGAACCCCAAUGGGGUACGUGGGGUAUAUUUUUGUUGUUGUUGUUGUUGUUGUAACCGAGAAAUCUCCCAUUGGUUAGUUGCCUCAACCCCAGUGGGCCCACAAGUUUGAAUUAUUAUUUUUUUCACGGGAGGGGAGGGGGAAUAUGGUCCGUUUCUCUAUCCUGCUCCCACUUAAAUACCACUUGUCAUGUUGGUGACAUAGUUUGAACCACAUAUCUCUCGUUGAACCAAAGUCCGGAGGCAAUAAUUUUUAGGCAUUUUAGUAAGACCUCUCCAUCUUUUACUAGAGAUCUCGAGUUCAGGGAAAAAACUCUUAAUAUAGAACACUUCUCCUUCAAAUACAUCCUAUGUGGUACAAAUCCAAAUUAGUUAGACCAAUGUAUGUAUCUCAGUCAGAUAGUUAGACCAAUAAAAAAUAGAUACAUAAAGCCAUAGAUGGCUAUAGCUUAUUAGCUAGUUUCAAUGGACCAAGACCAAAAAAAAAAAAUUCUUUUUAAAAAAAUGUGACAUUAAUUAACUUUAUUUGAUGGUUCUAGAUGUAACUUGGAAAUCCAAAUUAUUUUAAUCUAUAUGUUUCUAUCCACAAGUAAAAAAAUUCUGUACACUAUUCUUUCCCAUUAUCUGAAUUUUUUUACUACAAAGUUCGAAUAAUAUGUCUUUUCAAGGCUAUUGCCGAACUCAGUUGAAAUGUCAAUAAAGUCAAAUUUCUCGAGUUUAAUUUUUCCUUAAAUAUUUUUUUUUUAAUAUUAUAGAUAAAAUAUUAUAUUAUCGUCUAACGUUUAUCUCACAUAAAAUUCUCAAUUUGCUCAUAAAAAAUCUUUAAAUCAUGGCCUAAAAGUACAGAAGUUGCCAGAGAAAUAAAAAGAGAAUCGUUUACUAAACAAUUGUCUUAAUAAAACAAGUGGAUGGCCAUGAUAUUUUUCUAUUAAUUAAGCUCCUUGUAGAUUGAAAAUUCCUAGGUUGUCAUUCAAGAUUUUGGGUCUUAAAUUCAAAACCAUCAAUCAUAUAAUAAGUGUAAAAGUAUUGACUAUCCAAUUAUUGAAUUCCACUUGUGACUUCAAUAACAAACCAAAAUUUCUUUCAUUAAAAGACUUUAAAAUGUGUUUGACUAAGCUUAUAAAUCGGUCAAAUAAGCUUAUAAACAUUAUUUGUAGCUUAUCUACACAUUUAAAGUCUGUUUGAAUUAGCUGAUUAAAACAUCAAAUGUUGACAAACACCUCUAGGUGUGCGAGAUAGAAGUGUUGAAACUGAUAUUAAAUAGUUACGUGUUUCAUAAAAAGAUUAGGCAUAAUACAUUAAUAUCAUAGAAUUUUCGAUGCUACCAACCAUAGAAUGAAAUAAACGUUUAAUACUAACUAUGUCAUUUUUCUAACUGGUCCCAAUUCCAAAAAUCAUCCUCUAGAAAUCCACCAAAUUUAUUCUUGGCCUUUAAGAACAUAGCCAAAAUUUUUUUUAACAUAAAUUCAAAUUAAAAUAUGUCACAUGCAAAAUAUUACAAGAAAAAAAAAAUAUCUUUAUGAUCUGUAACUAUAUCUACCUAAACACAACAUGUGGAUCUAAAUCUAUGCAAAGAUUUUUUUUGCUUAAUAAUUGAUGCUCGAAAUAUUAUCGUGCUUAAAAAAUAUAAGUGGUUCAAAAUAAUUAUAACUUUUUAAAAUUAAAAUAUAAUUGAUUAUUGCUUUUCACUUUCUUCUUUACUCAAUAAAACAUGAAGACAAUUAAUAUGGUAAAAAAGAAUGUAGCAUCAAAUUGAGACCAGAUAAUAAAUAAAGAUAAUUUAAUCAAAUUACUUUUUUAAUUAAUAUUUUCUCAAGAGUUGUAGAGAAAAUGACAUAAAUAGUCCCUUAAUUAUAGGAGUAGGUCUAAAAUGGUCUCUUAACUAUAUACUUAAUGAAUUUAGUCUUUUAACUAUUAAAAAACUUAUUAGUUUUGGUCCCUUAACUAUACAAUUACCGGUUUUAGCCCAUUAACUAUAAACUUACCGAUUUUAGUCCUUUAAAUAUUUUAAAACUUAUCAGGUUUGUUCUUUGUCCAUUUUUUAAAUACAAAUAGCUUAGGUUUAUAUAUUAACCGAUAUCUUCGUAAAAUUAAAUCUUUAACCCAUUUUAAAGUUGUUUCUCUAUCCCCGGUCUUUUUUCUUCAAACUAUUCUUUUGAAAAGAACAAUAACGUCAACGAUUCAAAGUAAAAUUAAUGAGGGAAGAAGAUAUAAGUCCUAAUUUUAUUCAAUGGAGGAUAAAGUUAAGCAUAUAAUUGUUGUUGAUGACUUGAAUCCGCACUUGAAUAUGCUAAUCAGUGCGGAUUUUAUUUAAUUUACUCAAAUUUCUUUAUGUAAAAUAAAAUGAAUAGAAUAAUAAAAUUGAUCUACCUUUUUAUAAAUUUCAAUUUCUAAAAAAUUAAACAAAUUUCGUUCAAUGAAGUCGUUCGAGUACAAACAUUGGAUUUAAUGAGUAAUAAUUUUUAAUUUUUUUCUUUUUAGAAUAAAAUUUAGCAUAUUCAAGUCAUUAGUAGCAAUAAUAUGCUUCGUUUUAUCCUCUGUUGAAUAAAAUUAUGACUUAUAUUUUCUUUCCUCGUAAAUUUUAUUUUAAAUCGUUGAGGUUAAUGUUUUUCGCAUAAGAUUAAUUUGAAAAAAAAAUAGCGGACAAAGAGAAACAACAGAAAAAGUUGCUAAAUAAUUUAAUCUUUUGAUCGAGAUAUGAAUUCCGUUAAUAUAAAACUAAGCUAUUUGUCCCAUCAUUGGUGAUUCCAUUUUACCUACUUCUCAUUACAUGUUACAAAACAAUAGUGACAUUUUAUACUUAAGACUAAUUAACCAAGAACUUAUUUAAGUGUUUCAUAAUUUACUAUUGACAAUACUAUUUAGUGUGAUUUAUUCUGAUGUAUGGGCAUUAGUGCUAAAAAAUCUUUAAAAUUAUGGGCAUAAACAAAAUAGUAUUGUUGAAAGAAAAUAUCGUCAUAUAGUUGAAACAUGACUCAAAGUAAUAGUAAUAGUAAUAAUAAUUCUCAAUACUACUACUACUACUACUACUAAUAAUAAUAAUAAUAAUAAUAAUGAAGCUAUAAUGAUAAUAACGAUCACAAACUAAUACUGAUCGAUAUUGAGGGUGGUUGUGACGCUUCCUGUUGAGUAUAGUACACAAUUUAGAAUUGAAGUUCGUUUACACAAUAUAAGAAAGACAAUUCUAAAGAAUGAGAUUAAACAGCUUUUUUAGAUUUCAUUAAUGUUGUUUGUUGAUUUUUGAAAAAAGGGGCGGAGAUUGAAGAAGCGAAGCAAACCUAGAAUAGCAGUCUCUUACGUUUUUUCAAGCUCCUUUGAGAUCUUAUUAGUUAAGCACUAGCGCCCCUUUAGAGUAAUGAAGCUAUAAUAAUACUCCCUUCAUCCCAUUUUAUAUGUCACAUUUUUACUUUGCAUUUGCAUUAAAAAAUGAUGUAACUUUAGACAAGAUUAAUUAACUAUUCUAUCAGGGGUAUAAUAGACAAAACAUGGUAAUUUAUGUAUAAAUUUUAUAAAAUGACAAGUAGCUUUGUUUAAGUUUGUCGUAUACCAAUGUUAUACAAAAUAAAAAAUAAGUAGUACUAGAAGUCCUUUAUGUUUUUUGCUGGCAUAUAAAUCUCAAACCAGACUAAUAGACUACUAGAAAACAUAGGAUCCAAAGUAAACUUACUUGCAUGAUUAAAAUAUAUUCCCAACUUACUAGCAUUGCUUAUACCUAACUUUAUGAUACUCGGACUCUUCAAAAAUGUCACCAAGUGUGUAUCAGAUCCUCCAUAAUAGUGCAUUUUUAAGGAUCCGGCACGAAUACGACUAUUUUGUUGAGAGUCCGAGUAACAAAGGCUUAUAUAGAUCUUUUCCCGACUAAAUCUUUUGCUACUCUUCACUAACGAUAAGCUUACGGUUCGCAUGUUUCUGUAUCCUUUUUGCCAUUAUAUUAAUUUUCGGGCAAAUUGUGCUCAGGGAGACCGAUGUCAUCGGCUUAUAUCUUUACUUAGAAUGCACUGCCUCGUAUAUCUCGAGUUCUUGAGAAGUGGAAAGUUAGAUAUGAAACCUUCUAAGUUAGAGUCGACUAUCUGAAUCCUCAUUGAUCAUAUCUCUCUAUUUUAGUUCGUCGUAGACCGAAAUUAUACAGAAUAGCAAAAAUAAUAAUAGCAGAAAGCACUAGAAAUUCUCUAUAUUUUCUAGUUGGUAUUGCUCAUAUUGAUCGUUUUUCGAGACGAAGUCGGGGAUAUAUCGGAAACAACCUUACUACUCUACAAAGGUAGAGGUAAGCCCAGCGUACACCCUACCCUCUCCAGACUCCACUUAUGGGAGUAUACUGAGUAUUUCCCGAUUAAACUUUUGUUACUCUCACACUAAUUUUCUGGGGAAAAUGUGUUCAGGGAGGUCGACGUCAUCGGCAUAUUUCGCUACAAGAAUACAUGGCCAUUGUGUCUUGAGUUCUUUAGAAGUGGAAAGAUUGAUGUGAAACCUUUGAUCACACACAGGUUUGGAUUCUCUCAAAAAGAAGUUGAAGAAGCUUUUGAAACAAGUGUUCGUGGUGGUGAUGCUAUUAAAGUCAUGUUUAAUCUGUACUAACUUCACUUGAAUUGAAAUUAUGAAUUCAAGGUGUUUGAUCACAUGUUAUGGAGGGAUUCUUGAUGUUUAGACGUACUUUGGAGUGUCGGAAACAACUAUGAAACAUAGGUAUAAUACCUAGGA
rnacentral:lncRNA from 1 species